ACAAAUUUUUUGUGAUGGAGAGAGAUUGAUUUUCUUUUUUGUUUGAGGAAAGAGAGAUUGGAAUUUGGUUGAAAUAUAUUUGGUCAAAUCUCACUAGUAUCUACAUGCAUAUGUAUCUCUCACCUUUAGGGCAAUCAUUUUCAAUCCAAAGGUCAAAAUUGAUCAACCUUCCAUUUCCCCCUAAAAUUCUUGAGAAGAUAUUGAGAGCAAUAGAGUCAAAGUUGGAAUAAUCUAUAUUGGUUUUGUGGUUGUAUCUUAUUUUAGAAAAAAAAUACUCUAAUUUUACCCUAGACUGCACAUCUAUUUGUAAUACAGUCAAUUGAGGAAUUGUUCGAUUAUAAUUUGUAAAUAGUACAUUUUUAAUUAAUAUUAGAAUGAGUAUCAACUUAGUUGAAUAUUUUGGAAAUUUUGUUUUAUGUUUGUUUUUUAUUUAACUUUUUUAACCUUGGUACUUAAAUAUAUGUGCAUGUUUUUUUUUUUAAUGUACAAGUACAAGUGGUUAAAAUGAAGUACAUUCAAUAUAUCAAGUUUUCAACCUUCUUUCUAUUUUUAUUCAAAAUAAUAAUUACCAUUGUGAUUCGUCAUGAUUAUGAACACUAUUUUUAUAAUAUAUAUAAGUAAUUUUUGUAGGCACUAAUUAUUAUGGUAGUGACAAACGAAAACCCUCCUACACAAACACAUUGAAUAACAAGAAAAAUCAUCAUCAUCAUAAGAAAAUAUUGAUGUCAAAUCAUAAAAAAAUCUAGUCACAACUUGUUGGAAAGAUGAAAACUUGAUUUUUCUAAAAAAAAAUUAAGUCUUCUUAAUUCCUUUUUCUUUUUUCUUUUUUUACAAUUUGAUUUAGCCCACUUACAUAUAUUUCUUGAUAUUGAUGUAUUUUGAGGUUGAAAACCUAAUUGAAGUGUUUUUCUUUCCAUAAUUUAAUUGAAUUUUUAUAGAAAAUAACUAAUGGAAACUAGGAAAGGAUUUGAAUUGACUCCAACAAUUUUGUUGCACCAUUAGAAAUGGAAAUUUUGAUUAGGUUGACUACAUUUUCCUCCACAAAAUUAAAUUUAUAUGUAAUAUUUGUCAUUGAUAAGAGAGAAAAGAAAAAGAUUUAAGAAAAAAUGUUUGAUGGGAUUCUCAUUCAUUUCCCAUUUGUAGAAUUGUCUUUUCCAUUUCCAUUAACAUUACAUCUAAUUACCAACUCACCCUAAUUUUAGCAUCACAGAGAACAAAUAAUAAUAAUAAUGAUGAUGGAGAGAGAGAAAUAAUAUAUAAAUAGGGAAAAAUAGAGGAACAAAGCAACAAUCAUAAUGGAGACAGAGAUAAAUGGGAGAGACGUAAGAGAAUCAAUAAUCUUUAGUCAAUAGUCAAUAAAAUCUUAUGAUUGUAACCAAUUAACAGACAUCAUCUAGUUGGUAAGAAGCUUAACCUAAUAAAAUAUCAAAAUCUGUCUUCUCCUCUUCUUCUUCUUCUUCUUCUUCUUUUCUUUUAAUAAUAACAAUACCAUUUUUUUUUAUCAAGAACAAACAACACAUAUACUUCUCAAUUGAUUGUGUGUGUGUAUAUAUAUAUGCAACUGUUAAUGUGAUUGAUAGCAUUCAACCCAUUUAUCAACAGUCACACACAUAUGCAUUGGGCUAUACUGCCUAGCUAGCUAACACCCCUCAAAUGUAUAAUUUAUUCCCUAAUCCAUUUGUUUCUAAAUCUUUAAAUUAAUAUUUUCAUGUUUAAGAUUUGUAGUUGUUAUUAGUUAUUUAAUCUUAAUGUUUCAAAAAGUGGCAUAUAUAUAACCCUAUUUUAGCUUUUUAAUGAUUGUUUCCUUAGAUCAACAAAUGACCUUUAAUAUUUAACGAACAAUUUAAAUCAAAUUCAAACUCUAAAGAUCAAACGAUCAUUUGGAACGUUAGUGGAUCAAAUAAAGAAGAGCUAAAAAAAUAUUUUUUUAAUAAGUCUCGCUCUUAGUUUUUUAUAUUUGAAUAUUUUUUGUUGUUUUCAUUUUUAACAAUUUCAUAUUGUUAUUUGGUUCUUAAUUCAACACGCAUUCUAAUACUCUUACGGUUUACAAUAAUCUUGUCAAUUUCUCAAACAUUCCCUAAGUUCUUAUUAAGAUUAAAAAUGAUUAAUCUAAACAUAUAAAUUCAAUUAUAAAGAUAAUUGACAUGCAUAUAUAUAUAUUUUAAAGCUUGAAAGUUAAAAUCUCUUAUCUAUGUUUCCUCUACUAAAAACGUAUUAAUUUUGAGUAUUUUUUUUAAUGAAAAAAUUACAUAUAACUGAAAGAUUAUAGAGAAUCGAAACGGUAACUCGUGAUAGGUAAUUCUACAAACUAAAUUUGCGAAGACUUGGAUGUGUGGUCAUGAUAAGCUAGAUCAUAAACUACAUACACGAUUAGUAAAAAAAAUGUUGGACAAUCAAACCUCCACUUUAAAGAUAUGAGCAUUUCAUUAAAUGAAUCAACUUUUUCAGAGCAGAGGUUUACAAAGUCGCUUAAAUAUGUGUCUUUGUCCAUUAAGCGACUUCAAAGAAUCAAAGACGGAAAGUCUAUUUGGGUUGACUAUAAAAAAAAAUCUUUUUAAAUUACUUUAGUUUAAACUCAUUUUUAAAUAACUAUUUCAAAAGUUAUUUUUGUAGUUGCUAAAAUUUUUAAUUUUUCUUCCAAAUAACUUAUCUUCAAAAAGAAAUAUUUAAAAAGUUAAACCAAACAUAUUAUCUAUUUGAUACCAACGAGUUAUGAAUUCUACCAUGAAACGUUAUUGCCUCAACAUACUCACUAGAGUUCAUUUUCUACUUUAGCUAACUAAAAAAAAGAAGAAAAGAAUAAGGAAAAAACUCAUUUCUUAAGUAGGGAUAGAUAAUAUGGGUGUGUGUUUAGGAAAUUAAAUGUUAUAUUUGUUUAUAACUAUUUUAGGAGAAGUUCUUUUUAACAUGAUCUAGCUAUAGUACUAACAAUUUCAUUUAUAUACAAAUAUAUACACAUUUGAAGUUAACAUACAAAAUAUAUAUAUAUAUAUAUAUAUAUAUGAUAUAUGUAUUAUUUUAAUAGUUUUUAAUAGGUUAAAUAACGUAAAUUUCAAAUAAUAAUAAUAAUAAAAGAUUGAAAGUUACGAAUAGACAAAAUAGUAAAGAAACAUGAUUUAAUUCACCUUUAACAUUAGCACAUUACACAUGCAUAGCAUAUAUAUUAUGGUUCUCUUUGUUUAUAAAUUGUAAUUUAUAAUGUGAUUUGGUUACCAUUUUUUUGUAAAUUAGGUUUUUUCUACAAAAGCUUUGGAGAUAAGGAGAUCAUUGAUCAUAUCCAUUUUCAUUGAGCUAAUUAAUUAAGCUCGUUCUUGAAGUUCAAGAAAAAUAUUAAAAUUUGAAUUUUAUCUAAAAAUAGAGUUUUCUUUUCUUUUUUUUUUCAAUCUAAAAUUGAAAUACUUAGAUAUAUAUAUAUAUAGAGAGAGAUAUUUGAUCCGACAGAAAUUAGAGGAAUGGAAAUUGCAUCCUCCAUUGUUGUGGGGACGAUUCCUGAUUAAGUUUCGUUGAAGUAAUGAUAUAUGUUUGGACAAUUUCAUUAUUAAAUUACAAUCUUGGAGACAUUCAAAAUCAUUACAUUUUUCCAAUAAUAUCAUAUUUAUGGCUAAUAAUCAUCCUCACUCCCUUGAUUGAUUCUUUUUCAAAAAAUUUAAAUCUUUCCAGGAUUGAUUAACUAUGCUUAAUUUAAUGACCAUAUUUAAAUUUAUGUCAUAUUCUAGUUUUAUGUUCUUUUUUAACAAAAAAAGUUAUUAAUAAUAGUUGUUUAGAAUUUAAGUAAUAAAAUUCAGAAAUAGAUCAUAAAUGAAAUAAAAUGGCCAUGUAUAUGCAUGAUUGUUCUUUAUCUUUCUGUUUUGGUAUUAUUUCUUAAUUAAAAACAUUAUAUCACAAAAGAAAAAAAGAACAAAUAGUUUCUUUAGUGCAAUGCUACCAAAUAAGUUACCUCAUUUUUGUAAUAAACAAAUAAAUAUAAACUUAAUUCAAAUCAAAUAGUAUAGAAUGCAUAUUGGGUUUAUGAAUCUCCACUCCAAUAUUUUGCUCCAAACUUUUUACAAUGAAAUGAUUUUUUUAAAAGAGAUGAAAAACAAAUAAACUUUUUAUAAAAAAAAUCUAUGUGGAUGUAUGACAAAUAGAUGCCCUCAACAAUGUCCAUUAUUUGUAUCUUUCUUUGUGGUUGAUUCCAUGACCAUUCAAUAUAGAAAUGUAAAGUAUUAAUGUAUACACCUAAACAAUUAUCCCAUUUAAACCUUAAACUUUAGUCUUUUGAAUGUUCGUGUAAUGAAAUAGAGAGUGUAUAUAUUAAUGUUAUUGGAUGAUUUUUAAAGAUAGAACAUAAUUAAUUAUUUAACUUGAUUGAUAUAUUUGAGUUUAAACAAAUUAUAACGUUCACAUAGCAUUGAUAGAAUGAAAGAGUGUAAAUAUUAGUUUCAAUGAUUAAAAUAUACAACUAUUGGUACAAGUUUUAAUUGAUACAACCAAAUUUGGAGAUAUAAAUUUUAUUUAUUUUGCAAGUGAUAAUUUAAAAGUAAGGAGAUGACUCGAAAAAGAUUAGUUUGGUAUGUGGUUUGAAUUUUGUUUCCUCCUCUGUUUUUAUAUAUAUAUAGAAGAAAAUUUACCAUUUUUGGUUUCCAAUUUUUCAUAAAUAUAUGAGCUAGUUUUUAAAAUAUUUUUGAAACCUUAUUUAAAAAAUUUAAAGAUUAAAAAUAUACAUUUAUUAAGAACUCAAAAAUCGAAUAAAUCUAUUCUUAUAUAUACAAUGACUAAAACUAUAUAUUUUUAAAAACUUACCGAAAACACACAUAUUCUUUAAAUCUUGAGAAUUGAAAAGAUCAUUUUUCUAUAUAUAUAUUAAGAAGAAUGAAAUUUUUAGUAAAUUUGACAAAAUAUUUACGACCUAUAACAAAUUAUAGUCUAUAAAAGACCAUUGUUGAUAGAAAGAAUAAAAAAGGUUUUAAUAUCGAUACGUUCUACAUUAUUUUAAAAAGCAUGUUGACGUGACACACAAUAAAUAGAAAGAAUAUGAAAAGAUUUUAACUCUCACGUUAUAUUUGAAAAUAUUUUGGGACUAUACAAAAAAAAUCAAAUAUCUUUAAUUAUGCUAAAUUGAUAUUUUCGAGUGAAUUUAUUUGUAUUUUGAACGUUUUCUAAAUUGUUACAAAUAUAAAUAUAUACAUCUCAAUCUAAACUAUAUAUAUUAUAACGUAGGUCAAUUUGGAGGUGUUAAAAGAAGUUGAGUGGAUAUUAAUAAUUUCUACAACCAUGAAAGCUUCGGUGUGUGUGUGUCUAUAUAUAUAUAUAUGUGAAAACUUUCAUAUAUUAUGAAAAUGUGUGUAACUUUGGAUAUGAUAUGAAAUGUAAAUAUCCAUAAAACUUUAGUAUGCAGUAUGUCCCAUUAAUUUUUACUUCUUGAGGACCCACCCACUGCUUCAUGAAAUAAAAUACAAAAAAAAUCUGUCUGUGUGCAGUUUUUUACUGUACAACCCACUCCCAUCCCAUGCCAUUUUACUAUGUAGUAUGCCAUUUUCUUUUUAAUCUUUUGGUAAAAGAAAAUUACAUCAUUUCAAUGGGCUCCAAGAGUUACUACCCCUCAUUCUCAUCUGAAUUCUUUUUAAGUCUCUUCAAAAGGCAAGUGUUGGGGAAAUGACAGUCAAUAUCAUGUAUAUGUACUCAAAUUUGAAGACAAAAUCCCCACUCAGUCGUUUAAUCUUUUAUGUCUCUUAUAUUUGGUGCUGGAGAUGUUCAUUUAACUUGAAUUCCAUGGAAAAUGAGAAAGAAAGAAUGAAAAAAAUUUCUUCAUAUUGCUAAACCAGGAGGGAAGCUAGCUUCACCCCUUGUCACAUUUUUUCAUUUAUUACGAUUGUAUCAUUAUUGUCGUGUUAUACUAUUAUACAAAAGUUAUAUUUAAAUUUAAAGUUUUAUUGUUUGGAUGGUUUAAUUUGAUCAAAAUUAUGAAGUUACUUUUGAAACGAAGGUACGAUGAGAACGUCAAUAACAUGUCAAUCUAGUUGAGAUAUUAGAAUAUGUCUUCUCAUCUCAUGUCUCACUCUUAUACAUUUAUUAAAAAAACAAAAAUAUCAAAAUUAUGAAUAUAUUUGAAUUGAUCAACGGUUUUAUAGAUUGGUAUUUGAUAUACGUGAUUAUUUUCUAGUACUAAAACGUUUGGGCUACUUUUUUUAGUUCAAAUUGUCAACAAAGCAUCAAUCAUAUAAAAAAUAGUGAUAGAUUUAACUAAUUAACUCGAAUGUUUUCAAUGUAGUUGUUAUUUAAUUACCAAAAAUCUAGAAUGUAAGUUUUUCCAAAAGCCUUAUUGUGAAAAUUUACAUUUUCUUGAAUGAUAUUGUUACGAUAAUAUUACCGUCAAUUACGUGUUACUAACUUUUUAGAUCACUUGAAAGGUUCUAAAUUUCACCGGUUUUAUUUUUUAAGAUUAUUUUUUUAUUUUUUUAUUUGAUUAAUUGAACAUACUUAAAAAUUUUAAAUAAUCAAAUAUUCAAAUAAAAAAAUCCUUCUUGAUAAGUAUCUUAAAUAAAAUUGACCAUUUUAUCCGUCAAAGAUGAAAAAUGAAAAUGAUUAAAUGGGUGAAUAAAGAAUUCCACAUCUUUUGCAAAUAGUUUUAGAUGUUUUAUAUAUUUUUUUUUCUAAAAAAGAAUAAAAUUUAAACAAGCUUACUUUAGCAAUAUAUGUCUUAUAUCUUCAUCAUAUAUAUUUGGCAUUUGGCCUUCUGUUUUUUAGCUUUUCCAUGAAUCUUAAUUAGACCAUAUAUCAUUCAAAAUUAAAAUUAAGAAUAUAUAAUAACACCCCUAAUUACACAGUGUAGGAUGCCUAAUGUUUGAUACUCAACUUCAAUGCAUUUUUAUAUAAUAUUAUGCACAAUGGUAGAAUUUUUCAGUCCCUUCAAUAGACUUCAUAUUCAGAUUCUUUUCCAACCUAAAAAUAAAAUUUUGAUUUUGUAUUCCAUAAAUUUAUGAAUUCAAUUUUAGUAGGUCAUUAGCUAUUUAAAAUUCAUCAAUCUACUACACACAAAAUUGAAAGUUUAAAUUUCAUUACACAUAUAUAAAAUUCAUCGGUUAAGAAAAAAAAAACAUACAUUUUUUAAAACUACUAAAUAUUUUUAAAGUUCAAGAAUGAUGUAGCUAACACAAAAUUAAAAGCUUAAAACAAAAUUUGUAAUUAAAUUAAAAUUUUAAAUCAUAUUUUUUUGUACUUUAAAGAAAAAGUUCUCAAUUUGUCAUCGUCUAAAAUAACGUUGUCAUUUACUUAAAUAACGAAAAACGAUCAAGUCAACAAUUUCAAUUAUCCCUUAAAUGGCCAAAAGCAAACAUGUGCCUAACUAAGGACUCACUCCAAAUGGCACAAACUCACUUCAAUUAAUCCUUAAAAGCCAAAAGAAAUGUGCCUAACCCAAUUAAACUUACCCUUAAAGGCUAAAAAAGAGUGCCCAUCUCAUCCAAGUUAACUCUUAAAUUUAAGAUUUAUUAGAUAUUGGAGAAAUGAGUUUCAAUAUUUAUUAAAAAUAUUGAGAUAAAAAUUUGGACAAUUAAAAAGCAUCUCCAUGAAAAUAAACAAAAUUUAAAGUAUGAAUUCAAGUAAUUUUUGUAAAUAUACAUUUUUUAUACACACUUUAAUAUUUAAAAUUUUAAAAUAUCUAUUUUAAUUCUUUCACAAAUCUUUAUUAAAGAUAAUUUUUUUUAUACCCAAUACUCAUAUCAUAUCUUAGGGAACCCAUUAUAUAACUAUUUAAAAUACACUGCAAAAACAAAAUUUGAAUAGUUGUCAAACAUUCUAAUUUUUCUUUCUUUCACCCUUAGAUCGAAAGUGAUUCCAAACAUGUUCGAAACUUUAUUUUUUAAAUUACAAAGAAUAAAAAAAAAGAAAUUAAUCGUCCAAAUUUUGAAUACAACCAAACAAACGGUCCAAAAAAAAAAGAGAUGCAAUAAACCUCUAGAGAUUUUCUUCUUUUUUUUCAUAUGUUUUUUGUUUUUUCUAAGAAUUAUUGGCUGAGAAGAAAAAAUUGUUCAAAGAGACAGCCUCAGUCUGAAUACAAAAGUAUGUUUUAUUAUUCUCUGCUUCGAAAGUGCUAUAAAAACUUUUCCAUUGCAUGAGUUUUUACUAUUUUUUAAAAUGAAAAUAUAUGUGCAUCGUUUAUUAAUUAAAUAUUAUUGAAAUGCAUUCUAAACAACACUCAUUUUUAACCCUAUUUGAUCAUGAAGUCAUGCAUAGUUAGACGUAUCACAAAUGGAUCUUUUCUUUCUCCUUUUUAAUAUUUUUUACUGCAAUAAUUGUAAGUAAUUACUGUUGAUACGUUAAGUUUAUGUUUGUUCUUUAUUUAUGUGUAACAAUUUUGCAUGCUAACCUCCAGUUAUAUGAGUUUCUAUGUUUGAUUUAGUUAAAAGGUUUACUGUUUAAGUUCAUUUAAACACAUGUUUCAUUCUUAAAUCUAUUUGUUUGUUUUAAAUUGGGCUCUUAAGAUUUUAAAUUAAAGUUAUUGUUUUCAACAUAACUUUUCAUUGUAAAUUAUUUUAAUGAUUUAUUAUUAUUUUCAUUAUAUAAUCAACAACAAUCUAAACUUGUUUUGAAAAUUGAAAAGUUGUCCCAUUUCAUGUGCUCAACUAUUCGUCUUUGUAUAGAAACUUUUCUUUAAUCUUUUUGAAGACAUCAUCAAAUUCAAAUUCAUUAAGCUGCCAAAGAACUCUACUCACGUUACUUAAUUAAACACUCAAAUUUAAAAAAGAAAUGAUAAUCACAAAUUAGUUUAACAAAAACUAUGCUAUCAUAACAACUCAAGCCUCAUCUUGGAAACAUAUAUACAGUUGAUAAUAUGAUAGUCUAACCAAACAAUACUAUCCAUCAAACCUUCAACUUUGAAGAAUGGAAUAAAGACCUUAUCCAUUGAAACCCAUGUCGGUGUUUAAGAGGUGUAAAGGAAGUAAAGAGAUAUGGUGUGUGUUGUGGGCAGUGGGAGUAAAUAACAGAAAACACAGGGGGGGUAUUGUGGAAGAAGUUGGGUAAUAUAGAAAAGUAAUGUUAGAGGUAGAGAGGGAGAGGAAGUUGGUGUACAAGUAAAAUGCACUAAUUAAAACAGGUGAAGAGAGAGAGAGAGAGAGAGAAUAAAAAGAAAAGAAGAGGGGGGAGAGGGAGAGAGAGUGAAAAGACAAGUCAAAUGUCAAAUCUAUGGUCUUUGAUAUCAUAAGACAGUCAGUGGGAUGUGCUGUCAAUCCAAUGGAUUUCAUUUCAUUUCAUUUCCUCCUUCCUUCCUUACUUCCUUCCUUUCUAUCAAAACAAUACUAAAAAAUAAAAAUUCCUUCAGUUUUGGAGAGGGCAAAAUAACAGUCUUCUUUUUUCACUACUACUAAAGUUUCAAUGUUUUCAUCUGUAUUUUCUUCAUGUUUUUGUGGGUUCGGUCUUGAUGUGAAAACUGAAUUCUCAUAUAAAUCUAAAGAUGAAACACCAAAACAAACUAAGCAAUAAUGUGAAUAUAAUACUUUAUUACAAAUAACACAUAGCUAUAAUUCAUAAAUAUGAAUAUUUAUUGGAUUCUACUUAUAGAAUUAUUAUUUGUUUACUAAUUUAAAUAAUUUUAUGAGUUUUUUUUAUUCUAUAGUUCUUUUCUCAACACAUUUGAUAUUUUUAUAAUUAAAAUUUUUAUAUGACAAUUAAUAAUAAGUGAAGUAGGUAAAUAUAUAUAUAUAUUAAGAAAAAGAGUAAAUCCAAACCUUCUGAAAAUAUAUUUAUUGUAUUUAAAAAACAUUUGCACGUGCCAAAGAAGUUCCCACGUGCACAUUUUCCUCUUUCAAAAUGAAAUUAAAAUCCAUAGGACCCAUCCAACACUCUUCUCCAUGUCCUUUUUUUUUUAAAAAAAAAUUAUUAUUAUUAUUAUUUCCCACUUUAUUUUUUCUUUUUUCUUUUUAGUAAAAGAAAAAAGUUUCACCCAUUAUAUUUGAAUCAAUAAGAUAAAGUAAUGUUCUUUUUUCAAAAUUUGGCUUCACUCAAUUUCAAAACUUAUAUAUAACGAUUCUAUUUUUGUAAAUUCGAAGGAAAACAAUAAUACCAACAAACGUAUAUACACUAAUAUUAAUACCUACAUCGUUUAAAUUUUUUUAAAUUAGUUUCUAAAAAAAUAUAUAAAACAAUUUAGACCAUUUAUUUUUCUUCAAAAUCAUUCAAAUAAGAUUAAUCUUCUCCAAAAUAAAGAGAAAAAGACAAACGGGAUGAAAAUUGCUCGUAUUUAAUCAAAAUUAACUUACAUUAGGGUUUUUUUUUUAUAUUAUUAUUAUACUUUGAAGCAUUAAUAAAUAUUAUCUCUAAACUUUAGGAUCUUACAAUUUUUAUGUUAUGUAAAACAUAAUGUGAUCAUUAUAAAUCCAUUAAUAUCACUAUUGAAACAUAUAUUAUCAUUUCAUACUAUCUUUAACAACUAAUUCCUAAUUCCUACAGACUACCGACUUUAGAUUCCAGCUAUAUAGUAGAAUUGGAAAUCACUUUGUAAUAAAUUUUGUUAUUUUCAAUUUUUUUAAAGAUUGAUUAUUUUAAAAAAGAAAAAAAAUGAUGAUUACCAUUUAAUAUUGUUAAUCUAGCUAGAACAAACAAAAACAUAACAUUCAAAAUCAUAGUAUAAAAUUAUAAAUGGUAAAGAAAAUGUAAUUUUUAAUAGUAGGUUUUUUCUUUUUUUAGGAAAACAGUAAGUCUAUUUUAGUUACUAUUUCUCGAAUACAAUAAUUUAGUAUUUCUUUAUCCUAACACUACACCAAUUAUUAAGCCUAAGGUUGGAUGUUAUCAAAUUAUACUAAUUUGUUUCCUACAUUAGAAUGAAUUUUUUAAAGCUGUAUUUUCAACUAAAAGUUGCAAAUAUUUAAAAAGUAAUUUUUUUUUAAAAAAAAAAACUCAUGAUUGAAAUCAUCAUAUCUUACAGAUUUUAGUCCCAGCCAUUAGUUAUAUUUGCUGCCAUCAUUUAGCAGUAAUUUUUUUUUAAGAAAAAAGAAGUUUGUAGUAUAAGCCAUAUUGAGGUUAAGACAUUUCCAUCAAAGCAAGUCAACCCACUAAUUAUUUCAAUAAUACCCUGAAUAUAUAAUUGGAGAUCAUAGGUUUACAUCAUCACCCAUUUGAAAAUGUUAAAGAGUAAAUAUUUUAUUUCAUUAUGGGGAUUUAUUAAUGAAGAAGGUUAGGGACUGAAAUACAAAGUUACAUAUAGCAGUCUAAACUAAAGAAAAAAGGCAAAGGGGGAAAAGUAUUAAGCCAUAAAAGAAACACUUUAAAAGCAAAAGUAUAGCUAGCCAGAGAAUGGACGACAAAAUUACAAAUUGUGGAAGGGAGGAAUGAGAUAACGAAAAGGAAAGAAAGCAUGUCUAGAGAUGCUCCACCCUUGUUUAGCCAAAACACUGAUUUUGAGAUUUUGUACGACUCUAAUAGGGUUUAGUGUUAAUGAAGAAGAGAUGGUGACAUACAAAUUGUCCACGUAUAUUCAAAAACUUAAGUUGGUAGGUGGAGACGAAUUUGAUUAUAUAUAUAUAUGUGCUCAAUUAUGAAUGAUGAUUCAACUUGUUCUAUAGAAAACAUGUACAGAAUGGUUGAAAAAUGGUAAGAAAUAUAACAUGAUUUUACUUUUUAAAUAGGAUUGACAUCUCUGUUAUAUUUAAUAAGAAAAAAGGAGGAUUCAUUUAAAAACAAAAAACAAAUUGUUUGUUUAUUAAUUAAAUCCGCAAUAUAAUAGGGAUGUACAGCCGCCCAAAAGAGCCAUCCAUUUUCCAAUUCUCUCAUUCUCUCCAAAAACAAAACACAACCACACAAACAACUUCUCUCAAAGAUUCCAACCUUCCCCCUCUCCAGAAAAAGAUAAAAAAGAAAAACCAGAUGAAAUUCAAAACCCUUUUUCUUCUUGAUCUUAACAAGAAGAGAAACUAACGAAUUUCCAGUAGCGCCCGCGCCACUGUCGCGAUGAGCCAUCUCGAAGACUCUCUAAGAUCCCUUUCUUUAGACUAUCUUAAUCUUCUAAUCAACGGUCAAGCCUUUAGCGACGUGACGUUCAGCGUCGAGGGGCGUCUUGUCCACGCGCACCGAUGCAUCUUGGCGGCUAGGAGUUUGUUUUUCAGAAAAUUCUUUUGUGGGACGACGACGGAGGCGGGUGCGUCAUCCGGGUUGAGCCCGGUUGGAUCGCCGUCUCCGUCGACAGGGAGUAGUAGUACACAAGUGAUUCCAGUAAAUUCGGUGGGGUAUGAAGUGUUUUUGUUGUUGUUGCAAUUUUUGUAUAGUGGACAAGUUUCUAUUGUGCCACAGAAACAAGAACCAAGGCCUAAUUGUGGUGAUAGAGCUUGUUGGCAUACACAUUGUACCUCCGCCGUUGAUCUUGCCCUUCAUACUCUCUCCGCCGCUAGAUCCUUUGGCGUUGAACAGCUCGCAUUACUUACUCAGGUCAGCUCUCUCUCUCUCUCUCUCUCUUUUGGGUUUUUGAUUUCUUAUUAUCCCAUGUGGGUAUUUGAAUUUUUUUUAUGUUGAUGAACUUGUGGAAUUUUUUGAAACUUUUUACCUGAAAAACUAUGUUGAUGAAUUUGUGGAGUUUUUUCUAGGUCUCUUUUAAGUAAUAUGUAUAAUUUCUUUGUUUAAGAAAACACUUUCUAAAUUGAGUUUUUUUUUAAGAGGGUCUAUAUAUUAUGGAUUCAUUUAUACUCAUAUUUUUUGAAAAUUCACUUUCCUCAUUUGGGUUUUUGUUGGAAAUGAAAAUUUUUGAUUAGAAGCUACUCAAUCUAAUUUUUUUAAUGAAUUAAGAUUUUUUUUAUAAUAGGAAAGGGGAAAUAUUAUUCUUUUUAUUAUAGCAUUAUGUGUUUUUAUUUUGGUGUUUGGAUUUUUUUCUCUAUUAUUUGAUUUACUUUUUUGUUUAUUUAUGCAGAAGCAAUUGGCAAGUAUGGUGGAGAAAGCUUCCAUUGAAGAUGUAAUGAAGGUUUUAUUAGCUUCAAGAAAACAAGACAUGCAUCAACUUUGGUCCACUUGUUCUCAUCUUGUAGCUAAAUCCGGUCUCCCACCCGAGGUACUUGCCAAACACCUUCCGAUCGAUAUCGUAGCGAAGAUAGAAGAACUUCGCAUAAAGUCUUCUUUAGCGCGUCGUUCUCUAAUGCCUCAUCACCACCACCACCACCAUCACGAUCUUUCGGUUGCUGCCGACCUCGAAGACCAAAAGAUUCGUCGUAUGAGGAGGGCUUUAGACUCCUCCGACGUUGAGCUUGUUAAACUGAUGGUGAUGGGUGAAGGUUUGAAUCUUGAUGAAGCUUUAGCCUUACAUUAUGCUGUUGAGAAUUGUAGCCGUGAAGUUGUUAAGGCUUUGCUUGAGCUCGGUGCCGCUGAUGUUAACUACCCUGCUGGCCCGGCGGGGAAAACCCCACUUCACAUGGCGGCGGAAAUGGUUUCGCCCGACAUGGUUGCUGUGCUACUUGACCACCAUGCUGACCCAAAUGUCCGAACCGUCGAUGGUGUCACACCAUUGGAUAUCUUAAGAACCCUAACUUCAGAUUUUCUCUUCAAAGGUGCGGUCCCGGGAUUAACCCACAUCGAACCAAACAAGCUCAGGCUCUGCCUCGAGCUUGUCCAAUCCGCUGCAUUGGUUCUCUCUCGCGAAGAAGAAAAUGCCAACGCCAACGCCAACGUCAACGUUUCAUCAUCUCCAAUUUACCCACCGAUGAGUGAGGAUCAUAGCAGUAGUAGCAGCAACAACAACAAUAUUGGUAAUCUCAAUCUCGAUUCGAGAUUGGUUUACCUAAAUCUCGGGGCAUCGGGACGAAUGGGAGGUUCUAGAGUGGACGGAGAAGAUGACAACAGACAUGGAUCACAAGGAGGAGGAGGAUGUAUCCCAACAAUGUACCACCAUUCCCAUGACUUUCGAUGAAAAUUAAGCAUAACAUCAAAAUCUCUUAUUAUAUAAAAAUUUCACAAAACAUCAUCAUCUAAAUUAGAAUUCAAAAGGGGGUUAAAAAUGUUGAUUGAAAAAGGUAACCAAGAUCAUCAGCUAGGCUUUCUUGGGAAUCAAAUUAUCAUUGGAUCAAUUAUAUGUUUACAAUAUGUCAGCUUUGUUUAUUUUUUUAAAAUUUAUCUUCAAUUAAUUCAGUUUUUUUACCUCUCUUUUUCUCUAUAUGCCUUGUAUGUUUUUUUCUUUUUUUCUUUUGUAGGGAUCUUGAGUUGAAGUGAUGAAGGUAUGAAGUAAGAGAAGUACUCAAAAAUUGUGAGAAAUCAAAUGAGAUGAGACAAGAGAAAGAAUCUGACAUUAAAUUUCCCUUUAAAAAAUUUCUUUCUGCUUCUUCUGAUUGGAACACAGUCUCUCAGGUCAAUCUUUUCAAACCCUUUUGGUCUUUUUUUUCAUAUACUUCUAAUUCCUAUUAAUUAAUAUAUCUUUUCUACCCUAAAUUCUAUAUAUAUAUACACAAUAAUACGAUAAUAUAAUAUUCAUUUCAAACUUAUCAUAAUGAAAAACUUUUGUGGGUUCUAAUAAUAAUAACAAUAAAUUAAAACUAUAGUCUAAUUAGUUUAUAUCAUUUUGGGCCCUUUGUUAUUUCAUUUUCCCACUUCUUAAUAUUAUUGUGUCCCCCACCUGCCCUCCAUAAUGCAAAUUAGUGAAUGCAAUAACUUUUGGUUUUAUAUGCAAUGGGAUCUCUCUAUUAUAUCCUAACUUCUUCUUCUCAUGUAUCUCAUUAAUAUUUCUAGAAAGAAAUGUAUUUAAUCGUACUUAUUUUUGUACAUAUCAUUUAGACUAUUUGUCACGUAACAAAUUUUUUUUAUAUUUAUAAUUAAAGUAGGAAGAUGUUCCUCUUAUAACUUUUUUUUUAAUCUUAGAUUCAUGAACUGAGAUUAGGAAAGGAAGCUUAGAAGAAGAGAAGAGAAAUGGGAAUGGGGAAAGAAUAAUAUUUCUCCCAAUAUAAACUUUUUACUACUGCCCAUUCCAAGCUAUAUAUUGGUUGAUAUAUCAAAUUUAUCAUGGGUAGCUUUAUUUUUUUCAAUUGAAGGAUUAUUAUAUUUUAAUUUACUUUGGUGUAUAGUUUGAUUUUAGUUUAUUUAGAUUAUUGAUAGACAAGUAUAUCUAAUAUCAAUUAAUUAUUGAUUGAUUAGUAUAUAAUUGAUUCCAACUAGACAUACAAAAAAAUUAGGAAGUUCAUAUUUCAAUUCAAUUAGGUUUAGUUUUACAUUAUUUGAUCAAAUAUUUUCUUUCUAGAAAAACAUUACAUUAUAAAAUUAAAAAUGUCACUUCUUGUCAAAAUUUUGGCACAUAUGUCUAGAUAAGAUAGGGGAUAUUGACUAAAAGGUUUUUGCUUUUCAAACUUUUUGAGAGAUGGAUUUAUUUGAUUUUUGGUUAGUUGAUCAUAUUGAUUAAUUAAACAUCAUCUAUAUAUUGGGUUAUGGAAAAACUCAAUUUGGGUAUGACCUUGACUAAUAAAAAAAUUAAUUUUGUGGUGAAAAGAGAAGAGAAGUUGUGGCUGUCAUGCAUGAGUGCAACAUUGAAUGUGGCCCAAAACAUUGAUUGAAGUUAUUAAAUAUAUCUAAAGAUGGAUUCUCUUCUUCCUCUAAAUACUCUAUUCUGUCCCCUUUUCUUUUCUUUUUUUUUUCUCUUUCCUUAUUUGGGAUUGGUUUGAAUUUCAAAACCCUAACCUACCUCUUUGUUUCUCUUUUUAUUAUUACAUGUUAUGUUAAGGUUUUGUUUGGUUGUUGUUUUAAUUAAUGUAUUGUGUGUGUUCUUUAAGAAUUUAUUGACCCCAAAAAUUACACCAUAUAAUUUGCUGCCAACCCAUGUAAGUUUUUCUACCCUCUUUAGUCCUUUGUAAAUACCAAAAGUACUUUUGGGAGAUUUAAUUGCUUUGGUGAGAGCAUUUAACUAGGGAGGAAAUUAAAAUGAAGAUAGUUUUAAUUUGGUUAUUUAAUGUUUUAGGAUUAUUGUAAUUCAAUCAUGUGGAGUGAGGAUUUGAUAGUUCCUCUAUUCAGUUAUAUAGUCAACUUUGAUUUGCAUGUUUGGUUGUCGAUAAAGUGUUUUGGUUAUUGUAUUUUUCGAAAUGGCUCGAGUGAAAUUAAUGAUUUCAAGAUGUCUCGAUACUUGGAGGAGUUACUUAUGUGUUACUCAAGUUAUGUUUAGGUCAAUUUUGUUUUAUGUUUUUGUUAUAAUAGAUAUGUAAAAUAGACGUUCGUAAGGACCAUUCUAGUCAAUUAUGCAUGUUCAUUGUUACUACUUUGAGUUAUUUGGUAAUUAUACUACUUUUACUAUUUAUCAAAAGCUCGUACGUAUAUCGCUCAAAAGCUUAUGCGCUACCUAUUAGACACUUUUAAAAUGACUAACUAAUGUUGGAUUGCAGGGUUUGUAUACCUUCUGGGUUGUUUGAGAGAAGGAUCAAAAUUGGGUGUUUCUCUCAUCCCUUUAUAAGUUAGUGUUAAAUAAUUUUCACUUUCAAUUCGUACAUUUAUCCAUUAACAUCGUCUUUCCUACCUUCUUUCUUCCUAUUUUCCUAACUUUAAGACUAUGUAAUAACUCUCCACGCACCAUUAAAAUUCACUUGAUCAAUGUAUUCUAACAGCCCCAAAAGACAUUAACUCAUUUCCACUAUGAUUAGUUAGAUAAGUCAUAAGUGGUAAAAUUUCGAAAGACGUGCUUAAAACAAAUGGGCAAGGCAAAAAGAAAAUGGUACACUAAUUGUAUAGUCUUGGAAUGUAAAUAAAAGAGGGAAAAUAUUCUUUUUUUUCUUGUGUUUUAAUUCCAGUUACUAUUUGAUUCUUAGGUUUGUAAUGUAUUUUUGGUAUUACGUUUUAAGUUUUGAGUUGUAUUUCAAAUUAAUUCUUAAAUUUUAACAUGGUUACAAUUUUAUAUUUGGGAGGUUUGAGUUUUAUUUUUUUUAAUUUGAUACGAAAGUUUCAGCUUCUUUUACUUUCAAAGUCAUAUUUAUCCAACUUCAACAAUAUUUGAUAUACAUAUACACUUUUCUUCGAAGUAAGCUCAUAUUAGUUGUACUUUAAGAACAAAAUUAGUCACUCUAAGUAUAACUUAGUGGAAAAAAAAUACUAAUAUCAAUUUUUACAAACCUCAACGGUUUGAUUGUACACACUACAAUUAUUGAAUCGAGACAUCGACAUUUUAAAUUAAGGUCAUUUACGUUGUAUUGUAUGUAUACAAUACAUAAGAAUGGACUAGGAGUUUAGAGACUCGAUCACAUAUAUACAUAUAUUAUAGCUUUAGUGUAUAUUUGUGGUGGAGGAUUAUUAAAUACAAGCAUCCCAUUAUCUCUAUUUGGGCGUGUUGUUGUUGAUUAUUUAUUUAUUUACUUUUUAAAAGGGUGUUGCUGAAGUUAUGAUGCCUCAUUAUUCAUUUAAUUAAACUUAUACAUAGUUGAUUAUUAGAGGGAUUGAAACCUUAUUGAAAACUAACACAUCUACGUACGUCUAAGUUGGGUUUGCUCAUUAUUUUGUGUUUGAUUAGUUUAUAAAAUAUUUGACUAAUAGGAUUCACUGGAUAUAUAAUGCUCGAAAUCUAAUCAAAUAAUGGUUAGUUUUUUUUUUUUUUUUUUCCUUUUUUGUGUUUUAAAGAAAGAGCAGAAUAAAAAGCUUUAACUUCCUUUUGCAUAAUUUUAGCUUUUGUUAGGUGUAUGAAUUUGGGAGAUUAAUUAUUCUUUGUCAUUGCUUUCACAAAGCACUAAAACUUUGGUCUAAAACGGAAGUUGGGACACUGACUUUUUAGAGUGUUAUGGAAUAUAUAAAGAUUUUGAACCAACACAAAUUAGCCAAGUUGAUAGACAACCAUAUGCUAAUGUUGGCAAUGACACUUUUUAAUCAAUUUGGCGGGGCACCAAACUCAAUUCAAAUCAAAUUAUAGCUAAACCACAACAUUAAUCAAUAUAAUUAUAAAAAAAAAUACCACUAUCUUCUUAUCAUAGAUACACAUUGUAGUCCCUUUCGAUGAACUUAUAUUGUGGGUGAUAAAUUGACACUAUCUAGAGGUUUUGAUAUAAUCACUAGUCUUUACCUUCUCUAACUAACUUACUUGUCCAUCAAUAAAUGAGAAUAAAAGGUAAAAUAAGAAACUGAGAUGAAUUUAUACAUUCUUAAAAGUGAUUAACUGAUAGAAUUUAGGACGUUUGGAAUAAUUGAAUUCUAGUCAAGAUGAGCACUAAACAAAUGUAUGCCCUAUCACUCCCACUUGUAUUGGUUUUUCCAUUGAGUCCUUCAAUAGGGUAUGUGGAAGUGGAACCCAUCCAUCCUCGAGUACAAUAAAAAGAUGAUAAAUUCAAACUAUAGACCUUUUGUUUUGCUAAUACGUCAGGUAUGUAUAUGAUACAAAUCUCUCAAGUAACAAAUUAAAUACAUAUAUAUUCUCAAGAAUAAAUAAAUAAAUAAGUAAAAAUAAAGUGGUUCUUAAAAAUGGGUUUAUUAAUCUCUACUUUUCUCAACUACACAUUAGACACUUGAGUAAAUAUUCUAAUUUUUUGACAUAAUUCUAAAUAUAGUAACAAGAAAAGGGCAGUUAUGUCACUAAAACUUUCUUUGGACGAUUCAGGUGUAGCCUUGUUUACUUGGAGGAAGCUCAAAAAUUAGCCAAAACUCCCGUUCAUUCAGCCUUCUCUCGGACACAGUCUUCUUUAUGAAACAUAGCAUAUUGAUCCUCAAGUCCUACAUUCAAAGACCAAUCAUGUUGGUAAUAAUAGGGAUAUCAAAAUGCAAAACUAAACACUACAAUGCAAGUAGAGGGAAUCUCUAUAUUAUUUUCUGGUUCUUUAAAAUAUUAGUUCACGGUUGUUUUAUUUUCAUUAUCGAACAUUGGGUAUUUACAUUGACAAGUAUUUGAACACAUGUUGUGAGUCAAACAUAAAGUUUUCAAAUUUUUGUUUAAUGGUGACACUAUGAUAGAACCUAAAUAUACCAAUAUAAAUGGUAACCAAACUAUAAAAUAAACUAAAGUUUUUUCCAAUCUUGAGAUUAAUCUAAAGCCCUAGUUUACUCACCAAAAUAUUGCCUACCCUCCUCAUUCCCCUACCAUAUUUAUAACCAAGAAUAACAAACUCUCUAGCUAAUUACUAAUUACCUUCAAUACUCGGUCCCUGAUGCCAUCUCUAUCACACUAAUCACAAUGAAAAGAGACCUUGUAUUUCUUAUCAGGAAAGAAACAUAAGUUGAGUUGGCUGGGGAAGAAACAUUUAUACUUUGGGCAAAUUGAAAAAAUGGGAGGGGAAGUUGUUGGGAUUUUCUUCAAGUGUUUCUAUGCGUUUAAGUUAUAAAUGGUGAGAUUUUUUAAAUCCUAUGGUUUCAUCUGAACAGAAGUUUGAGGGAUAACCUGUUGAAGAGAACAUCUGUACAACAACCAAGAACUUAGGUAAUUGCCCAAAACUUCUUUCUACAGAUCAGCACAGAUUCUGGGUUAUUAUCUUUCGUUUGCAGUGUCUGCAUUUCAACAUCCCAUAGAUAUUUGGAAGCAAUUUCUUGUAUUCUUGAUGUUAUUGAAGGUUCGUCUCUGAUGAUUAUGUAUCCCUGUACAUGAAAAUGAUUCAAAGACAAUUUGAAGCAUAAAUUAGAAACAGUAGAAGAUAUGCCAAUAGGCAGAUUACGCUUGCUUCUCCCUUCCUAAAUUUUAGCAUUAUGGGAGGAGAUCUCCGUUACAAAGAACUUUGAUAACAGAAAUGUCAUGCCCAUGAAAUCUUACAAGAACAGAGAAAUGGAUACAUCAUACAGCAUUACGGUGACAUGCUAUUUUCUAAAAAUCUAGACAUACUAAGCAUUGUUCAGGACAUGUUUAUUAGAAUGUGCAUUUCUUAGAUAUACAUUCUUUAGAUAUUCGUUAAAAAUUCCUGUGCUAACCCUUUUAACUUAAGAUAUUUUCAUGCCAGAGAUAAUGUAAAAGAAGUAAAGAUAGCAAUACUUGAAGAGUUUGGAGAAACUAAUGAACUAUUUCUCAUGGUACAAUGACUAAUAUCAAACUUUUCAAAUGCAUAGAACAAACUAACAUUUUUGUUGAAAUUUAAAGCGACAACAUGGAUUAUAUGUGCUAGUAAAAAAUUAUAUAGUUAGACAAAAAGUUUAGUCCAUGAACUUGGAUGUAUUUAAAAGAUCUUUAAAUGUUAAGAAGCUCCAACGAAGGGCAUUUUUGGCCCAAAGAGUAGGAGAUUAGGGGAAGUGGAGUGGACUUCCCUCCUUGUUUGGUCAAAGAAGCUUGUGGACCCCACACACUUAAACAACUCUCCAAUUUUAACAACUACCCAAACUAAACAACUUCACUCCUUACCCAAAUGCCCCCCCCAUAAAUCUCAAAACUUUUAGUUUUAUGUUCCAUAUGUUCCUUAACUUUAUAAAUGUUUAAAUCCUUCAUCUUUCAUUUUUUUAUCUAUUAAGUCAUUGUCAUUGAUUUAUUAAUCAAACAUUUUGUAAACUAUUAAACAAAAUAGAAAAUUGAGGGCCUAUAAAAUGAUUUUAAAGUUCAAAAACUUGUCGACACAAAAUUAAAAGUGUAUAAACCUAUUAAGCUAUUACAUACUCUUUUAAGUUGAGAGAUUUAUAAAACACAACUAAAGGACUAGACUUAAAUUUUUAAUUAGACCUUAGGGGGCGUUAAAGACAAGGACUAUCCUAAGACUAUAAUAACUACCUCUUGCUACAGCUACAGUGAAUACUCUUUUAUACUCCCAAUUUAGCUGAAGUCAACACUAUUUCAAAGGCCCUCAUUUCCUACAAUAUUUACUAUUUGCUAAAGUUUUUACUAUUUUACAUUUUCAUUAAUUUUUAUUAUUUACUAGUCUCCUAUUUCCUUCUCAAACUAAAGUAGUUUACACCUCACACGCAUACUUUUAUAACCCAAACUAAAAUAAUCUACGUACCAAACACAAACUAUUAUAACUAAUCUAUAAUAACCAACUCCUUGUCCCAAACAACCCCCUGCUAAUUUUAUCCUAAUAUUUGUCCAUGUUUGUACUUUCUAUAUUAUGUGUGUAUAAAUAAAUAAAAUAGAUACUUUAGGUCCUUCAUUUGUUUAGUAGGGUCGUAAUUUCUAUAAUUUGACAUGUAUUUAUUAUACUUAAGCGUUCAAUUCGAGUCCAAUCAUUUUUAGACUCCUUUAAUUCAUUCAAUUUUUGUUAAUGAGUGUCAAACUUGUGUCUAUCAUACUUGAGAACUGUUGGACACAAGUACAAUAAGGAGUAGUGUGGAUCUGACGCAGACACAUGCGUAAGCUCAAAUGGAAGUGUCCAUGCUUCAAAGCAAAUCUUAUUUAGUUCACCAAAUGCACAAGGGUCGUGUUGUGAUGUCCUUUUUGUUUCCUGUUAUUGUUUCAGAUUGUUGAGAAAUGUGUGUUUGGUAGUUUUUGUAUUUUGUCAAGGUUGAUUGUUCCUUUUUAUUUCAUAAGAAAUAUCAAGAGUAGAUUCCAAAAAAAGGAACAAGAACAGCCUAUAGGCCGACCACAGGGUCAAUUAUUACAUGACUCUGGUUUCUUGUUUUUAAGAAAUAAUUUUAAAAUAAAAGACACGGCUAGAGAUUUGAUUUCUUCUCUAAUUUUCAUGGUAUAAAAAUUGAAGUUAGAAUUAUUGUCUUAUCAAGUUCAGUCACAUAAUUCAUAAUAAAUCCAAAUUAUUUUGACUAUUUGAAUAUUUAAAAAAAACAAAUAAAGUUUUCUAUUAAUUUAAAGUUCUAAAAAAAAGGAAUUUCCAAACAUAUUUCUAUUUCUAUAAGACCAAAAUGCAUUUUUGUCUUACUUUUAAAAUUUUGGAAAACAAAAACCAAAUAUUGAGAAACAACAAACAAGAGAGGUAAACAGAUUAAUCAAAACUUUUACGAUGCUAAACACAUAGGCAAAAGAAAAUGCAUUAUGCAAGCAAUGGUAGCAACGGUUAUACCAGAAAAACGGAGGUCUCAAGCAUAGCAUCAAUAUCUGCCAAAAGUAAUUUCCCUAGUUUUGUCUCUUCUUGUGGCUAUUACAAGCUUGAAAAUUGAAGGAAUCAAAUUAAUUACCUGAGGUCGUACAAUGCGGUCCAUUUCCAACAUUAUAUCCUCCAGCAAGCAACCCUCUCCACCACUUUUAUACUGAGAAAAUAGACGGUAUGCAUGCAACAAAUCGUAUGUGCGCGGAUAAGUUGAAAAUGGUUCACACCUACAUUAUAAGAGAUAUUAGAAAACCAAACAUUCAUUAAGAAAAACGAAAGAAACCAAACGGGCAGUAAUAAAAACAAAAACAAAUAAACAAACGAACAAAUCUAUGCAUAAGAGACCUAAGACGCUAACCAAAAAAAGCAAGAAAGCUGACCAUGGCUCAUACCUUUCCCGAGACAGCCCCCAAAAGAGUUCUAUUUUUUUUCCCAAAGCAAUAGAAGUGUUUGCAUGCCAAACAGUAUAAUACUUCUAAUAUUUGGAAGAUGUUGGAGAACAAAUAACUUACCAAUCAUGAAAGACACCAACCAGGCCCCGGUCAUAUAUAGCAGAGAGCGUGUUUUUCAUCUUUAUAGGAACUACAUUCAUAACCCAGACUGGAAAAUUGUUCAAUGCCACUGCAAAUCCACCAUAGAGAGCAUUCAUGUCCAUGACAUUUCGAAUAUCAGUUUCACUGACAUUCAUCAGUUUCCAGUACUGGUUAACUUGAUCUUUCCAAUAUAAGGUAUCCAAAUCAAAUUCCUCUUGACUAACACCUGUGAUUGAAGACAACAAUAUCAUCAUAAAACACAGCAAUCAGAUUUUCUAGGUAAGAGAAAAUAGAAACUAAGAAUAAUCGAGGCACUUCUUAGGAAGGAAAACUAACAAAGGUUCACCUCGUACAAUUUGCUAGCUCAAUGGUUUUAACCAAUACCAUUAAUAAAAAAGAUUGAUUUACUCAAGACUGAGAAUAAGAAAUAAUUGGAAGGAAAUCAAUGGGAAUAGAAGCGGUAAUCCUAUGUUUACUUGGAAGUAACUAUAAAUAGACUUAGCAGCCUAUGCGUGCCACUUAUUACAUUAGAAAUAAGAACAAGACAUUACAAUUACCGAAACGUUCCUUCAACACACCAACGAACUAAGAAUAUAUUAAUCAUAAAAAAUACCAAUAGAAUUUUGGGUCGUUUUCAAAUAUAGUAAAAUUAACCAAAAUAUUUACAAAUAUAGUAAAUAUCACAGUCUUUGUCUACAUAUGUCAUGAUAGACACACGCACAAUCUAUUGCAAAUAGUCCUAUCUUGUUAUGUUUGUAAAUAUUUUCAGGAGUGGUAUCAUUUAAAAUUAUUUUCCUAAAAGUUUUAUAUUAGAAGAAUACUUAUUAGUAAUAAAUUUUAAUUUAUUUUAUUGUCCAUAAAUAGUAAUAAAAUAUAUCUCAACACUUAUUUGAUUCAACAAAUAAUAACAAACUAAAAAUAAAUAAUUAACAAAUUAGGUAAAAGUCUGAAAUCAUGGAUAGUAAAGGCUCAAUUGGAGAGAAAAAAAAGGAAAGGAGUGUUGUUAAAUAUUCGUCAUUUUCUGGACAUUCUUUUCAGUCUAAUUUUGAAUUAACAGUUGAGGUUCAAUGAUAAAUAGUCUUGAAAUCCCUUAGAACUUUAAAUAGUGAUAGAUUAAAUAAAUAAAUAAGCUACCAUUCCAAACAGUUUUUUAAAGUGAAGACAACUACAUCAAGUUAUCAAAGUUAUUAUUCAAAAGAAAAACACUCAGGAAAUCCACAAAUAGGCCACCGAGAUAUAAUUUCUGCUUUUGAAUGAGAGCUUGGUGAAUUGAAGAACCAAAAACAACUAGGAGGAUUCCUUUAGAAAGAAAAGGUAUACCUAUUUUCCGUAGAUUCCUUGAAUAUACUGAAAGGCGCUCUGGUCUUGGAGGUAACUUCUGAGCAUAUGACUGAUCAGUUACGUGAAUACAGUUUCUUAAAGGUAUUUUCCAUGAUGGUUGAAAAUCAUCCACAGCAUCACAUAUUUCCACAGCCUUAUUCUCUGCAUUGAUGAUGAGGCAUGCCGGAUUUUCCUGUUUGAUCCAGAUUGCAGUCUGAACCUUUCUGGCAAUGAGCUUCCAGCACAUUGCUGUAGUCAGAUUCACCAGUUUCUCCCAUAUCAUUGGGUAUUCUUUAUCUUUUCUAUAGGCAGGGGGUGCUGAAUAGACAAAAUAUCCAUUUGGUCGCAGAAGCCGAUCAACUUCUUUGAGUAAAAUACCAUCUGCAAGAAUAAAGACAGUGAAAGUUUAAUGACUUUCAAGUAUAAAUCAAAACGGUAAAAUUGACAAGAUUCAGGGUGAAGGCAUAUGAGAGCCUUCAUAAAAAAUUCAGUGUAUCAUGUCACAUUAUCACCCAAAAAGGAAUCUGAACUUAUUCAGCACUGACAAAGUAAACAAGUAGCAACUUUCUUACAGUUGGUAACUAUAAACGUGGACAUGGAUAAUGGCAUUGUGGUCUUCAUUUAUCUUAAUGCUGCUCUAGAGGUUUCAUAAGAUCAUUAGUCCUUUUUCCGUUAUUUAGAAGAUAAACAUAAAUAUUUUCUCUUCUUUUCUUUUUUCCAUCAAGUGACAAAAUUUCUCGUGGAAGAGAUGAAUAAAGAUCAAUGCUCAAAAAUGGCAUACAAACUCUCUAUAGCGCAUAAAGAAAAGUAGCAAGUGAGAAUAACAAAUAAUAAGUAAUGGCUGUUCAUAAAGAGUACUGGAAUACCAUUUUCAUGCCAAUCAACACGACACCUAGAGCAGUGGACCAUCUCAAAGGAACUUGUGGGAUACGGCAGUUGAUUUGUUGCCAAGGCAGAAAUCAUUGCACCAAUACCUCUCUCUAGCGCAAAUUGAAUCUGAUUCUCAUGCCCGUCCUUGGGAGCAAAGGACAUCGUUUGGAUGCCCAAUGAAAGAAGAUAAGCUGAGAAACUAGCAACGCCACAACCAACAUCUAAAACCUGAUAUACUCCAGCAGAGCUCAGAGUGCCUGUAUCAUUUGUAGUCAUGUUUCCUAAUCUGCGUUAGAAUAAAAUUUGAUCAAUAGAACAGUCUGAGAAGAAAAUCUAAUCAGUAAUUCAGAUUGAUCAUAAAUACAAGGAAUCCAUUUUAAUAUUACUUCCCAAAUUGAAAAUCAAAUUAGAACAGCGGAAGGAUGAAUAUGAACCGACUGAUUAAAGGGUAUGAGUAUAUUCACAUCCCAAUAAGGAAACAAAAUAAAGAGGAAAAGGGAAGAUUCAAUAAGAGGCAACAACGCUACCUUUGGAUGUACUCAGGCGCCCCAUGUUUGAAGUGAGUACCACCUCCAGGAAACCACCAUAGUUGGUCCUUCUCAUGGACCCAAUUUUGUCCUCCUUUAACUUCAGCAAGGCGUGUGUGAUUCACAUUACUUCGCCACACAUAAUCCCGACUGGUUGGCCACUUUACUGGGAUCUUGUAGUCUUCUGGUGGAGGUACCAAACAAAACAAGCGGUUAUCAAGUGGAGGGCAGUGCCUCUCGAGCUCUUCUUUUCUUGAAAGAUCCAAUGUAGGAAUCAAUUCUUUUAUGUAAGAAAUGUCGUGGCAAGGAAUAUACUCGGUGUAGUUUAAAGGACAUACAUCCACACCAUUCUCUGGAAUCGAAAGUGGUACCUUCCUGUAAGUGAUUGAAACUUGGUUUGGAAUUGUGGAAUUUCCUGCAGUAUAAGAGAUAAACUUUGAGACAAGGAAUUGAUUGCAACGAUAACUUAAAACCUUUAAAGUUCCUAGAAACACGGAACAAUUUCACAAACCCAGAAGGAACACACAUCAUCUGAAAAAGGGAGUGUGUUAAAGAUGAAGGAUAUACAAAGAACAAGUCAGAUAUUGCUUUGUUAGUUUGACAUUUCUUAGGCCACAUCUUUGACUUGAAAUAAAAUCAACUAAAUUCUAUCAGAGGAAAAAAUCGUCAGAAGACGAAUUUUAAUGUGAAGCUGUAACGUUUCAGAGAGAAGUCAAAUAGUAUAUUUAAGAAAAAAAUAUGUAUUUAUCAUUAAAAUUAAGGAAGACCCAUUUCAUUUACCCACUAGACUAAUUCAAAAUGUUGAAGUGGAUGAAGUUUGAGUUUGAUUCCCCUUCCUCUAAGCAGGAAAAAGUUAGUGGUAACACUAGUCUUAAUCACCGUGUAGAUAAUUAGUUCACUAAGCAUCUCCCUUCCAAGUUACACUUUCCUUUCCCAACUGAUAACGGGUCUUCCUUAAGAAAGUAAAGCAUCACUGCCAGAAACAAAGCAACCACCAGAUAUGCUUAAUUCUCUUAGUCUCUACACUAGUCAAACAAUCAAGGAAAUAAAACAAGCCAUCAACAAACCCAAUCCAGAACGCAGAUAUCCAGCAGAGCACAAGGAAGAAUACAAGAUCCGAAGCAUAAACUCGAGCAUUAAUUGAAUAGAGAUAAAACUUAAAAGCAAAAAAGUUAAUGAAUUUGGAUUCAGUUUUCGAAGAAACAACAUAGAGAGAGGACAGUACCGAGUGAUGAUGAAGAAGUGGAAUUGGAAGGAAGGUGAGAAACGUAAAUAGGAACAUUGUCGCCAAAAAGAGUACCAAAAUAAAAAGAUCCAACCAUAAGUAAGAGAGCGAGCAUUAUCAUCUGCCCUGACUGCAAAGCAAAAAAAUAACCCAAGCCAUAGGAACUGGCCAUUGUCUUCUUUCUUCCCUCCACAGAGCUUGGAUCUCGGAAACGAGCUGGAAAAUUGAAGAAUUCGUCAAGACCCAAAUGACAUUGCCAUUUGAGAGAGAGAUCGGAGUAGGAAUAGCUAUGAAUGUGGAAGUAAUUUGAAGCCUAAAGCUGAGAUUUCAGGAAGAGAAUAUUUUCAGUUUCGAUUCGAAGAUUUCACCGUUCGCUUUCACAAAUCUUCACUUCUUUAAUUUGUAGAGACGACAUACGUAUUCUCCUAAAAUAUUUAUAGUAAAUACUAAAUAAUUUGUUGAGAUACGUUUUUAAUUCUUUUUUUAAUUGUUCUUUUUUACUGUUGUAAAUAUUUUACCAAAUUCAAUAUUUUCUUAAUGAUAUACAAAUAAGGUUUAAAAUAUCAUAUUAUAACCCUCAAAUUUAUACAAAUUUGAUUAAACAUUAAUAAAACAUAUCUUUCAAUAUAUUAUAAAAACAAUUUUACCAUAUUUGAAAAAAAUUAGUCCAUGAUCCAUAAUUUGGAUUCCGACGUUUUUCUAUAACUUGACUUAUUAAAGUAAAAGUGUCUCUACAAACCAACACGAAUCUUUUUAUCAUACUUUGUCAUAACUCACAUAGAAUUAGUCAGAGUUCCUAUAAUCGAACUAUCGUACACCGAUUCAUUAAAAUCUCCCUCUUAAGCUUAGAACAUUAUAUACAUAUAAUAAGAUUCACGAUGUUUAGCAUUUAGAAAUUCAUCAUGAAGUAACAACUAUUUAUCAAAUAUAUUGAUAAGACAAACAACAAUAUCGUUUUAGUAUUAUCAAUAAACAAAAUCAUGAUAUUUUCGAUACCUUAGUAGUGUUUUAAAUACUAGCUUUGACAAUCUUAUCAAUUAAUUUUUUUUUGUGUAAUUUCUAACAAGAACCAACUAAAUAAGUUGCCAAUAUCAUAUCACACAAGUCCCAAUAAGAGAUAAACUUCAUUUUUAUCAUUAUAUUCACAAACAUGUCUUUCAAGAAUAAACAACAAAUUUAAACUCAGACAAAUGUAAUAAUUUAUUUACAAAUCUCCUAAAACAUUCACUUCAAUUUCUAUAAAAUAUAAAAAACAUUCCACAUAAAUUACCAUUUGCACACAACCCUUUGGGCAACUUUCCAAAUCAAAUGAUCCAUGUACAAGUUUUAGAAUGAAUUAUCCAUUAGCUUUUUAUGUUUCAACCUCAUGAAUGUUUAAUUCAUUUAUGUACGGUAUUCAUUCAAUAACUCAACAAUACCACUUUUCAAUCCCUAAACAUAAUUCCAAACAAUGGAUGGUUAAACAUAUAUGCUUUUUAAUUUGAUUUAAAGAGUAUUACUUUUUGUAUUAUGAUCAAUGAUAACUUUAUCUUUUUUUCUCUCUCUUUCGUUCGUAGAUAACAACCUAACAAGCAACGUACACAAACUAGCCAAAAGGAGGGUAAAACUAUUAAGGAUAAAGACAGCCUAAAUGAUUAUAGACUUUCGAACUUCUAGUAUUUAAUGUGCUAUACAGUGGCCCAAUUAAUUCUAAUUAUGAUGACAAUGAAAAAAAACCAAUAAUUCUCACUUUGUUCCUUGACUAAUCUCAUGAGACAACCCGUUUAACCCUACAACAUUUGAGUAUAUAUUAAGAAAAGUUGUAGAAAAUUAAUUAUUUGGUAGGUGGCCUCCAUGAAUUGAACACAUGACUCAAAACAAUCAAAUUCAACCAAAAUAUUUGAGAUUGAUAGGAAAAAACAAACCGAACUCUGAUAGAGCAUAUCAUCAUUCAUUUAAGAACCUUCACGUCAUGAAUAAACUUGAAACAUGCAUUACAAACUUAUCCUAGAUGGGCUUGAAGCACUCAACCAAGACCUCCCGAGUCCGAAUCGAAAGAAGAAGAAGAAGAUGGCAAAGUAACAUAUGUGCUCAACUUUCAACAAGGAACCCGAAGAGAAUGCCAACCAAUCAUGGGAGUGUAUUGUUAAUUGGAAUCAUCUACUUAGCUUUGGCAUAUCGUGUCAAAACUCUACAAUACAUUUACCAAUCAAAACACUAAAUAGGGUUGGAAUUAAUCAAGUAGAUCUUUGAGAAAACAUCACUCACGUAAACACUCUACAAAAUCUAAAAGAGAAAAACAAAAAGAAGAGGAAAGAAGAUAAAAACGAAUGAAAUUGAAAUUAGGAGAGAUGGAUGAGCCAAAGAAAGACUAGUUACUACAUUAUGCUUCUAAACUUGUAAAGAUAAAUAAUACUCCAGCUUGUUUGGGCAGAAGGGACGGCGGUCGGUUUCUCGGGUCGUCUGGAACACCUUUCAGAAACAAAACCAGGUUUUCCCAAUUCGUAGCGUCGUUUCUCAUCGCCGGUUCCGCCAUAUUCAAAUUUCUCUCCAAUUCCGACAGGCAAUUGAUCAAUUACAGGAAAGCUUUCGAAAUUUGAAACUUCCGGCGAUGCCGACUUCUACUGCAGGAAUUGCAGGUUCAGGAGAUUCGUCCAAUACUAUAAUUGGUUCUAGUGCUGAAGAUAAAUCCCUCAAGGAAUCAGCUGCUGCUCAAUCUCAAUAUCGUGCUCAAAAUGAAGUGCAAGAACUUGAAAAGUCUAGCAAACAACUUUAUCCUUGCCAACCGGGAGAAGCUCAGGGUGCUGUGGCAAUACCUGCUGAUCAAGAGACAAACCGAAGUUCCGGGAACGAUCAGAACAUUGUUCCCCAUCAUGGUACGUUUAACAACAUUGCUGUCUCAUCUUCUAGCAACUUCAGGUCGAAUGUUGACGAUGCGAGAGACAUUGACAUUGCUGUUCAGGAUGCCGUGUUAAGGGAACAGGUAUGCACGAAUAUAUUUCAGUUUUUCAAAUUCCUUAAAAAAAAAUCAGCUUAGUUUUGAAUACUAUAAUGUGAUGACGCCUCCAUGUUCUGUUUCACAUUUAAUGGAAGUUUUGGUUAAUCGUCUUUUAAGUUUUUGUUUGCAUUGGUGCUCCCCUUUCAUCGUAUCCGUUCUGAUGGGGACUAAUUUUAUGGUUUUUUAGAGUUCAGAGACUAGAUUUCUAUAUUUUCAAGUUUCUCAAUCUAUACACCCCUAUUAUGAUGAUAAAUGAUAUGGACGGAAUGGUGAGAAAUUUCUUUUGGAAGGGGGAGUCUUUCAGACGGGUAGUCAAUUGACUAAAUAGAGCUGAACUUUUCUGCCUCUUCAAUAUGGGGGUCUUGGGCUGUCUGCAGCAAAGGAACAAGGCCAUGCUCCUUAAAUGGCUUUGGUGCUUCAUCUACGAAGAAACUGCCUCGCAGAGAGUUGUGAUUGCCUACGAAGAAACUCCCCUGUGCAGAGUUGCGAUUGCAAGCAUAUUGGUCUUUGGUGUGGGCUGUCUUGUCUCGAUGAGUGACAAUUAGAUUGAGGGUUGAGAUUGAUAGUGCUUAUUUGUCCGUAUGGAAUUGUAUUUUCAUUAUGAUUGAUACGCGGUAGUAGAGGCUUUAAAGGAAGUAACUGAAACUAUUUCAACGUGCAACCCAUUCCUUGUUGACUAAGAUGAUCUGUGUUGAGCUUGACUUGUAUGGUGAAACAAAGGCUGGGCGUGGUUGUUAAGAAUCUCUAUUGGCACUUGUAGAGGCAGAAUCCUUUUCUUUUGCAUGCAUGGCUAAAGGUUAGUUUAGGUAUGGAAUUCUUAUUAAUUUUUGCAGGAGUCCUUUGCAUGAUCAAAACAUUAGUGCUUUGGAACAGAUUGGGAGAGCUUGCAGGGAUAAUUGCUAUGAAAACAUUAAGGAAUUUAAACCGUAUUGGAACCUCCAUUGAGGUUGAGAACAAUUACUGUGGCUUUAUCCUCGCUGAAAAGUAGCAUAAUGACAUAAUUCGGAAGUUAUUCUAUGGUUAGCGUAGGGGAAUUGUGUGUGUGGUGGGGGAACCCUAAACACUCAUCUUAUAGAUUAAAAAUAUUACUUGCAACUUGUUUUUUUUUAUAGAAUUGACAUGUUGCUGUUUGUGUCCACUGUCCGGUGUCCACGUCUAUGCUUUCUAAUUGGUAGAUUUUGUUGGAGGGAAACAAUGUUUCCAAUACGAAGAGGAAGUUGCACCUAUCUGGGGAUUUUGGUUCUCUUUCAGCUUCCUGAUGGUGCCUCAAGUCUCCCAUACAUUGACAUUGGAGAGAAUUAUAUAUUUAUUUUAUUUCUUCUUGAAAUUUCUUUAGCUCUCCAUUUGUAAUUUUAUUCAUAAGCAAGACACUGUUUCUUAUCUAUGUAACUAAAUUAUUUUAGUUUUCAAACACUUUAAUUAGUUUUUUUUUCCCCUAACAGGAACUUGCUACCCAAAAUAUUAUUCGUAGCCAAAGGUGAUGGUUCUUCAUUUGUUUUUGAGUUAUUACAGUUCAGAUUGAUAAUGAAAACUAAAUAUGUUACCAUCCCCAGAGAUUCCGUGGGUGCAGAUGGACUUCCGGUUGAGCGAUCAGAUAUCUUUUCAGAACGUUAUGACCCGAGUUCUCUUAAAGUAUGUGACUUUCUACCUUUAUACAACUUUUGUUCAUAAAUUUUCUUUAGAAUGUAGAAUAGCCGCAUGCUUACACCCAUCAAUAGAUUUAGUUGUAUGUCAUCACUGCCUCCAUGGUCCCUAUUUAUCUACUUUCAUGAGAAAUAAAUGUCUUAUGUCAAGUUUAUGUAGAUACGAAAAGAGGAACUAGGUUUUGUAUUACAAUUUGAGAACAAUAUUGCACUUUGAUGUUUAUUUUAACAAGCCCAUUUAUAUGAGAACUUGAAGAAAAAAAUUCAUUAGUUAAGGCAGUUAGUUUAACAACUAAAAGGAAACCAAUCCUUAAGUAACUAACCUAACAAAAAGAAAGCGUAAUACACAUAGUAUGUGUAACGUCUGCGUUUAGGAUGGGUACACGUACAUGAAUGACAUGAUAUCGCAUUUGAAUGAGAGUAUGGUUAAAAGUUGUGAAAGUAUGGUUAAGAAUGACUUAAAAGAAUUUAAAGAUAUUAUCUAUACCAACAAGGUGCACCAUCCUUUUGGGUGACUCAAUUAUAGGAACUCAUCCUAGGAAUUUUUCUGGGAAGCAUGUGAGUGAGGACAAAACAUGUUAUAAAGACUCGUGUAAUUGUGUUGGUUUGAUGUAAUAGUCUUCACGCUUGAAAGGAGUUUAAGAUGAGCAAAGAUGAUGUUGCUAGGUCGUAGGGGAUGCAGAAGAAUGUUGGGGCCAUCAUGUGGCGAAUAUGGAUUUCAAAGCUUAGGUUUGCGGCGUUACAGAUGGUAUUAGAGUGGAACCUCUCUUAGUAAAAUGUGGUUUGAGGACGUUAUAGAAAAACUAUUCUAGUGUAGUAUCUAACUACUAGCCUUCUUUUCUGAAUUUAACUUGCCUUCAAGAUUCUUGUCUUCGAAUGAAGCUCAUCUUGGAUCAUGUGGGGAGUUAAAAAAAGAUCAUGUGGGCAUUGGAUACUCUGUCGUAAGAUUGGUUGUAUACUUCUUGAGCAUUUAUCUUAUUGAAAAACUUCUUAAGCAUUAACGCAUGUUAGAAAAUAUUCUUUGUUUUGAAGUGCAACAAACAUGCCUUAACAGAUUAAUAACCUAAAACAUGAGGACUAUUCCCUCCAGCCAAUGACUGUAAAAUUUAACCAGCUAUUAUUGGCUAGUUUACAAAGAAGUCCCACAUCAAUUUCAUGCAUGUUGUCAGUCCUGCCAUUAGAAAAAUUACCAUCAAGUACUGCAACCACUUUCCUAUUCCUAGACUAUCGGAUUUGUUAGAAUAACUAUUUGGAUCCACAAUCUUUUUAAUGAUAAAUCCUUUGCCUCAGCCUGCUAGAGGUGUGAUUUGUUCAACUUUUGGCUGGUCCCUUGCAUUAUCUGAAGAUCCUUUCGUUCUGAUUGCCCUGAUACUUGUCGCCAUUGUCGGUUACCCAUUCAAGGAGGGAGAACAAGAUCAUUUAUCUCAACUUUUCUAGAGCCUUUUAUGGUCUCUGUGGAGGAAUAAACAUAAUUCUUAAGUCUUUAAGGACAAUGACUGAUGGUUCAGCAACGCUUUUGAUUCUCCAUCCUUUUUCAGCUCCCACAUGGUGUAAAUUAGUACCCACCUUUUCUGAUACAAUCUCUUCUCUUGUAGCUCAAAAACUUUUUUUAACUUUUCUUUAGGGUAGGAUCCCUCCCCUUUUUUAUAAUCUCAUCUCAUAAAUACAAUGUUGCUUAUCCAAAGAUAAAAAGGGAGUUACUAUAAUUAUCAUUAUAAAAGAGGAGGUAACUCGGGGAAAGAUGAACCAAAAACGCACAGCCAAAAAUGUGAUGAGAAGGGAUUAUUUAAAUCCUCCCUAAUACCUUACAUCAGAAUCGUUCCUAAUUACCCAUUGUGAGACCAUGGACAUCUGCUUUGCUCUCUUGUUUUUGUUUAUAUUGCAUGACACUGUUAUACAGACAAAGGCUUAUUAUUUGUUAUCAUGUUUUGUAGCUUUAAUUUUUUUUUCUUUAUGCCUUUUAUCUCAGGAGCAUCUUUUGAAGAUUACUUCUGAACAUCGUGCAGAAAUGGCUAUAAAAAGGGGAAAGUUGAAUCUUCCAGAAGAAGGUCGGUACUUUGUGAUAUGGCUUCCUCUUCCUAUUGAUGUUUUUCUCUUCACUUGAUCUUCUUGUGGUGCAAUAGUAGAUGCUUAAGUACUCUAAGGUGAAGAUAUCAAUUGUUGGAUGAAAAGGGUUUAUAGUACAAUUACACAUUGUUAGAGAUAUGUAUGGAAGUGCUUAGGGCUAUGCAAGGAAGAAAUUUCCUUUUAGAGUAUUUGGGUCAACUUAUAAGUAUAAACUAUUCUCAUGGGACAGAUUGUUGGAUGCUACAUCAUGCAGUUUUUGAGGAACACUAGGAUUUUUUUCUCUAAUUGUAGAUAGGUGGCCACUUUGGGACUUGAACCCUUGCCUCAAAGUCCCCAAGUUCUUCAUGAGGCCCUUUACCUCUUUGUAACUCUCAUUAUUGGACCAAGUCGGGUCGAUCUGAGUGAGAAAGGUAAGGCCCAAGAUUGGUUGAACCUCCAAAAUCCUAUUUGAGGGCCUUGCUUAUGCUGACUUAUUCCAUCAAAAUUUGUAUGGGGUUUGGGUUGACCCAUUGGAUGAUUAACUUUUAAAAAUUACUGUGUUGGAAUUUUCUUAAACAAAAUUGUACUGUAACCAUAGGUUAGGUUUCAUUGUACUUAACUAGGGUUCAUCCCUUUAGUGGUACCUCCUUUUUGUUGGCUUAUUUUUUCUAAUGCUCUUGUAUUCUUUCAUCAUUUCUCAAUGAAAAUUAAUGAAAAUUUGGUUCUUUAUAUGAGAAAAAACAAAUUAUAUUAAAACUUGUGAUUUAUAUUUUGUUAUAGAAGAUGCCGACAAUUCUGUGCAUGAGAACAAGUGAAGAAAGGAUUGGUUCUUAUCCUCCUUAUUUUUCCUCGUGCACCUCAAGGAAACAAGUCCCUCGAACACCUCAAGGAAAAAGGCAACAAAAAGGCCAUAUUUGAGUGGAGCCAGGUGCAAUGAAUAGAUAAAUAAAUAAAUAAAAUAUUUAGGUUGCAUGGCUUUGUUGGGCCUAGAUGGUGGGUUAUAACGUUAUAAGCAUAUUUGUUAAAUAAAAUAAGAAAAAGAAACAGAACACCCUAUUAUUUUAAUCAGGGGCCUUGGACUAAGCUAAACAGUCAAAGGUGCAUAGGGCUAGUGCCCAACUGAAAAAUCGCUUGCCCCACUUUCUUUUUCAAUCAUGGGAGAGAGUUUCUUGGUAGGUCAACUUCUUGUAGAUCUUUUAUAAUAGGGAAAGUGAGCACAAUUCAAUUGACAUUAAAAUUUGGUAUCAACCUGAAUGUCAAAGGUCUGAAUCCCCCACCUUCUUGUUGAGCUUUCGACCUUCUGUAACAAUUUGCUCAAGUGUAACAUGGAAUGUUUUUAGGACAGAUGGAUACUGUUGGAAAAUGAUCACAAUGUUGUGUGCUUGAAUUCUUCCUCUUAGGUUUCAACUUCUCUCUUUCAAAAAAUUUCCAUUAUACUGUUUAUUGCAAAUUGGGAUUUCACUUGUUUUUCUUCUUUUUUUUUUUCCUCUUUUGUGUUUGUGGCUUGCAACUCUUAUUCUUGUUUUGUGCAACUUCCUUGUAAUUAUAAUUAUACUUUAACUACUAUAAACGCCAAGUGGGUACCAUUUUUUCUUUUUUUAACUCGGCUUUUUAAUGUAAUUUCAAUACUGUUAAACAAAUUGUCCUCUAUAUCUAGAACAAAAUAUUUUAUGGCCUUUUACAAUUAAAUUUUUUGUAGCACAGAGACCACUUUGAAAGAAUUAAUAAAAUCAGCAGAUAUGUGCCUACUUCUCUAGAUUGUUAUUCUAUAUUGGAGAUUCCAACAAACUCAAACAUAUAAUCUUCCUUUUCCCUUUCAAGGAGAAUGACAUCUUGUUGUCAUGUCAGGGAACUUGGAAAUUGGAAAUGGAUACGGAGUACCUGGUGGAUGUGCUUUCUAUGGUGCUUCAAAGCCUGGAAUUGUUGCCAAUGGUUUAAAACUUAAACCUUUUUCCUUUUGCUUGAUUUUGAUGUUGAUUUCCAGUUGGUUCAUUUGUCCUGCUUUCAGGAAAUAAUGUGACUGGCCAGAAAAUCCAGGGACAGAUCAAGGAAGCAGAACAAAGUUCUGCUUCCAAGGCAUUGCCCGAGUACCUCAAGCAGAAGCUAAGAGCUAGGGGUAUUCUUAAAGAAGAUGCAGAACACAGCAAUUCUGUAAGGGCUGAUGUGCGUAACUUCCUAAAACAUGUCUUGGCAGGACGCCUUAGUUUUAUUAUUUAGCCACAGACCUAUUUGAUCCAUUUAAACCAAUAUUUACUCUUUUCUCGCUGAUGGGGAAACACUUCAAUUUUUUCUCUUUUCUUAUCUUUAAAAAGCAGAUUUACAAAGAAAAGCUUGUGCACCUAAAUUUUGUUCAGAUUUAUAAAUAUCCUUUUGUUUCAAUUUUGAGAUUUCUAGAAUUUGUGUACUUCUGAUAGCAAUCAUAGUUCCAUGGUUCUGCUGAUAUUCUUUAUUCAAUUGCUUCUCUCUUAAAUUACAGACAAAUUCUGACGCUGUUUCAAACACAAAGUUGCAAGGAGAAAAGCUGCCUCAUGGAUGGGUGUGUACUGUUUGCAAUUCCUUUACCAAUUGUGUGCAGUGCUCUCUUUCUCUAUCAAGCUUGUUAGAAUUGCCUAUUGCAACUUGGGAAGGUUAUUUUGUUUGAUAGCUGAGCUGAUUAGGUGGCCUUAGUUUACAUUAUUUUUUAAAUAUUUCCAAUAAGUAGGAAUUUAACAUGCUUAACUAUUUAUUCUGUGGGGUAAUAAAAAAGUAUAUUAAAUCUACUUAGUUAUAAUAUAUCAUACAUUUAUAUAUUACUAGUGUGGUGUUUACUAAAACAGUUAAGUUUGUGAAGUGAACGAGUUUUGUCAGAAUAAUUACGGAAGGUCAUUUUCCUAAGUGUGAGUGAGUAGACCUAGUAUCCACUUUGCGGGAACUUUAUUAUGGAGUUGAAGCGGCCCUUACUGUGUUAGGGACUUGGGGAUUUUAUUUUUGUAAUUCUUUUGAGUCAUUUAAGGUUGUUGGCAACCUCUGGAUUUUGGGUAGCAAAAACAUUAUCAACUCUGGAUGUGAGUAUUGUACUUUCUUUUCAAACAUAAUUUCUAUUUGAUUCUAAGGUUUCCAAAACUAAUACUUUUGGUUCUUAAGAUUUGAAUUUGGUUGUUAUUUGAUUUUUGAGGUUAUAAAAUUGACAUGUCUAGUUUUUUAUAUCUAAAUUUGAUUUCUAGUUAAUCCCUGAAGUUUGAAAUUGGUUUUUAAUACCCAAGUAUAAAAAAUAAUUCCAGCAAUGUCUAGUUAGCAUAUUGUAACUGAACUGAUGUAUUCUGUUAUAUCAACUAGCAGACAAUUAUAUUUAGGGACCAUUUAGGAACCUAUUUCAAACCUUAGGAACCAAUUAUAUCAAAUUUAAACAUAGGAAUUAAAUAUGUUGCUUUUGAAAUCUCAAGGACCAAUUACAAACCAAAUUCAAAUAUCAAGGAUCAAAAGUUCUAGCUUUAAAAACCCAUUGACCAAACAGAAACUUAGUAUCCAGGGACCAAAAGUAAGUUUUUCUCCCUCAAAAAAAAAAAAAAAAAAGAACGAUUCUAAGAAGUUUCAAUAAAAUAUGAAGAUGUGUUGUGAUGUUUCUUGUUUUUGGAAGUUUGUCCUUAGGCCUCCAUUUUAUAAACUUGUAUGCUUCUCUGCAUAGGUGGAGGCUAAAGACCCUCACAGUGGUGUUUCAUAUUAUUAUAAUGAAAGUAGUGGAAAGAGUCAAUGGGAAAGGCCCUCCGAACUUUCUUCUAAUACGCAACUUUCAUCAGCUGUAUCCCUUCCAGAAGAUUGGAUGGAGGCAAUCGAUCAAACAUCAGGUCGGUAAGAGAUUUAAUGAUUUAUGAUGCUGAUAUACCUUCUUCCAUGCAUAAUUUGGAGGAGAAAAGAUAAGAAAUCUGGAGGAAUUACAGCACGAUAAUCCUUGUUGUUUCAGUUUUACCAUACUUUUUCUCAAUGCAUUUAUACAUUUCUGGUUUCCCCUGUCCUGCAUCCCUACCUUUUCUACGAGUCAUUGAUGUGGAGACUGUAGAGUCUAGAGGUUGAAGGCUAGAGUAAUUGGCUUGAAUUGCGUGGAAACUUUUGUAUUUGGCAUCUCAUGAACCUUCUUUAUAAAUUUUGCAAGCCUUGAAAAUGGAAUUAUCCGUUGAGGGACGCUUAUGUCGUGCCUUUAUUAUGUUGUUCUAGUUGUAAUUGGUGGUUUUCCCAACUUCAAUGGAGAAGUGUUCAGAAAAAAGUUGCUGAAUAACAUAAUUUGCAGUUUUGCUCCCAUUGACAAAUUUUCAUACGACCGCAGGCGUAAAAUACUACUACAAUAUGAGAACCCAUGUAACCCAGUGGGAGCGGCCUGUUGCAUCUCAUCAGACAACUUUGACACACUCGAAUGAUAAGUUUCCUGGGCCUUGGAACGACCAAACUUUGGAGCAAAGUAAAUGCAUCACAUGUGGAAGUGGAAUGACCCUCGUGCAGGGUUCAAGAUACUGCAACAGUUGUACAAGGUAAAUGAGAUAGUCUAUAUAUCUAUGCUAAGAAAAUGAAGGUCUUUUCAUUAAGAGACUGGAAAGUACAAGAGAGGAUGCAUACGAGUGAACAAACUUGAUUAAAAGAGAUAUUGCAAUACGUACGGAAAUUUGAGUCCCCCACUCUCCCCUCCCACUAGACUACUCUAAUCUAGUUGGAGGAGUUACAUUUUUGUUAGGCAAAUCGGUUUGCCAUUUUUAUGAUGAAGCCUCUGCAUUAUGUUGUAAGGCAGUUGUUAGUAUUCAGCAAAACCUGAAGCUGGGUUUUUCUUCUAAAGUCAUAUAACCUGCCUCUGUAAGGAUGCCUUGGUGAGCAUUAGUAAGCAUAAAGUUUUGUAGAUUCUUCUGCCUUCAAAUGAGGCUGCAGUAACAUAUCUAAUUUCUAGAAAAAUGUGGGCUCUUCUUCCUUGAUCGGAUUUCCUUCAAGUUUCAGAGUUGCUGUCCAAACAACUUGAUUUCUGAUUUGUGGGAAUAUUUGAGCCAUUCUUGGAAAAAUUACAUUGAGGAGACAUUUGAAGGAUAACGAGAUUAUGCAUUUUUAGUGACCUAAUUUUACUCUUGGAAGAGGUUCAUUUAGCCCGUGGGAUGAUAAAAGAAGUACUGCUGCUUGGUCAUAUGGAGUCCACAAUCAAAUCCCUAAUUAGUAAGCUGUUUGGAAAUCCCAAUGUCCUCUUCCUUGUUUAAAGCUUGUCGUAAAUCCAAAUUUUCAAAGAAAAUCAGCUUCUUUUGUGAUUUUUUAAUGGUCGGACAUCAGAGAAAGCUUGCUUUCAUUGUAUGAUCCCCCUGGCUUGCCCCUUUGUGGUUUCUGGACUUAGAAGACCAGAAGCACUUUUCAUUGUGGGUUUAUUGUUAAAAGGUGGGGGGAAAGCCUCUAUUUUAUUUUCAAUUUUAUCAUUAAAUAUUUUCCAUCUCUCUACUAAAUGCUAUACUACUCGUCAGCCUCUUUUAGAUUCUGACUAAGAGCCCACAGAUACAUCUUACUCAUCCAUCAAGAACAUCCUCCUCCCCUCACCUCACAUUUCCUCUCAUACAUGAUACUUGUUUAUUAGACACAAUUUACUGCUCAACAAGAUGGGCACCCACUAACUGUUUUCUUACUGCAAUUUUAUCUGGAUAAAUUCUCACACUUCGUUCUUCAUUGCAUUGGUUUUGUGUCUAAAUUGACUAGUGGGGUUUCUACAAGUUCAACCAAUGGGAUUUGGCAGGAUCAACCGUCUGAGCAAAAUAAAUGCAUGGGAUGUGGUGGCUGGGGACUAGGCCUUGUGCAAGCUUGGGGUUACUGUAUUCAUUGCACACGGUAUGUUGAUCACUCUUAUUAUUCAGCACUAUCAUGUAGCAUAUCAUUGUAUUUGGUAUGAUUGUUUGUGACUAUGUAUGAACUGAUGUGUGGAUGAAGGUAGUUAGGGUUAGAAGUUCAUUAGCUAGACUGCUUGAGUGAUGCAAUUAUUUUAAUUUAAAAUCCUAGUUGUUUCUAUGACACGUUUACAGUUUUUCAGCCAUUACUCUCGAUAAAUUCAUACAAAUAUUUUUUUUUCCUCAUGGAUUAUGUAUUCGCUUUUGUUUUACCCUCUUUUUAUUAUUAUUAAUAUUAUUUUUUAUUUAUUUAUUCACAACGACUUUCAGAAUUCUCGGUCUCCCCCAGUGCCAGUACUUGCCAACCAACAACAUUAGUAAUCAGCAGAAGAUAGAGAACGUCAAGCAUAGCGCUGAUCCCUCCAUUAAAAAAUCUGUGACAGAUAGGUAAAGAAACAGUCCUCUGACUUCGGACUUAGUUAAGUCGAGAAAUAGGGGAGGAUUAAGUUAUGAAGCUAAUGAGUAUCGGUUGUCAGGUCCAAAUGGAAACCUCCAAUAGGGAAAGGUGGAAAGCGAGAAAGUAGGAAGCGUUCCUACAGUGAGGAUGAUGAAUUAGAUCCAAUGGAUCCUAGCUCUUAUUCAGAUGCUCCUCGUGGUGGCUGGUAUGUCUUCAAAAAUUAGCUCUCUAGGUUGAAUACUAGUUGAUUAUUUAGGCCUCAUUUGACAAAGGUUUUAGUUUUAGUUUUUUGUGCCUAUUUUCUUCCAUUUGUUUAUAAUAGUUUUCAUCUUUCGUAAGAAAUUAUUUAAAUUGCUAUUCAAUUAAGCAAUUGAAAUCAUCGUAAGGAAAUAUCUAAAUUAGCUCUCUGGGUUUAAUUGCUAUUCAAGUUUUUUUAAUAACUAUAUUUUUAAAAUUUCAAGACUUGGCUUGGAUGUUGAAAUCAUCCUUAAAUAAUAGAUAACAAAACAAAGAAAUUCAUAGGAUAGUAGCUGCUUUUAUAAACUUAACAACUAAAAGUCGAAGGGUUAUCAAAUGGGUCUUAGAAAAUCUGUCCAAGAAGUAGAAUGAUAUUAAUUGUUUGUUUUGAUUACUUUUCAGGGUUGUGGGUCUAAAAGGUGUGCAGCCUCGGGCAGCAGAUACUACUGCUACAGUAAGUAGUAACUAAUCAUUUUAGAUUUUUAGCUGUUUGCUGUUGCAACCGUCUCACCUUAUAAUGGGCAAUUAUCAUUUCAUGUAUAGACAUGUUAUGUAGUUUCACAUAUACAAUUUAAAACAUUUCCUUCACAAUGGGCCUUGGUUUUAGUCUGUUUGAUGUAAUGUGCUGACUCUAGCGUCUGCAGUGAACUCUUGACACUGAUUAGAACAGGGGCUGUUCUCUUGUUCCUUAAUCCAAUCCUCAUUGUGUUGGAUCUCAUUUAAAAUAUUUUUUUUCUUAUUAAAUCGAAAUAACUUCUAAUUGGAUAAUAUAUACUUCCUCUCAUCGAUGGUGAAUGGCAGGGUCCUCUCUUUCAACAGCGGCCAUAUCCAUCACCUGGAGCUGUUCUGAGGAAGAAUGCUGAAAUUGCUUCACAGACCAAGAAGGGAAGCUCUCACUAUGCACCCAUUUCCAAGAGGGGAGAUGGAAGCGAUGGCCUUGGUGAUGCUGAUUGAUCUCUUCUAAUUUAUUCUGCUCCGACGAUACAGUGACCACUAUUUAUGUAGUGUAGAAGUACACUUUUCACUGGAGAUGCGACAUAUAUCUUUGACCGUAUAGCCUUACCUGAAGUUAUGGAUCAAAUGCACAUCUCACUUUCUGAAGGAGAGGAACGUGGCUGUACGAUGGUACGUUUCUUGUAUAUAUACUAAUUACUAUACUUCUAUAUGGAAAACUUGAGUCGUGGACAAAACGGUCAAUGAGGCAGAUUUUUAACCUUCACAUAUGUACCAGAAGAUUUGAAUUACUAGACAGGAGUAGAAAAUUCAAACUUAUUGUAUUUUGUUAAAAUGUUACAAUAAUUUAACUUAACGUCGACUAUACGAGACAAGCUUAGAAGUUUAUUAAUCCUACAAUUAUGCAAACUCUAAGUUUACCUUUCAUACUACUUCGAUAACUUUUGAUUUUAUAUUUCAUUUUUACUUUUGUACAUUAUAAUUUCACAAGUUAAACACUGUUAUUCAAACUUGAGGUUAUCGAUUCUGAAUUUUAUAAUUUAGAUGAAUUAAGUUGGUAAUAUGAAAAGAGAUCUCGGUGUUACACCGCCUUGUUGGGUUGCUUUUGGAUGGUUCCCUGGGAGUUCAGCCAAAGUGAGAUGGCAUUAGUUGUUUGUUGCUGAUGGAGAAUCAAUAUUUCAAAUAGAAAUAAGGAGUACAGUAUUUCUUUCUUUACUAUAUGAUAAUGGCAUGUGAUUACAUUGGUCUCAUCUGUUUGUUUACUUUCCAUAUUAGCUUAUUAUUGGGACCAGCUGUCUUACUAUAGAUUGAUCAUCAAUGUGAUGAUGUGUAUGUUGGUUACCUAUCUUUUCAAAUCCUCAAGUCAAUAUAGUAAAAUGACUUAUUACAUUACAUGAAUUGGAUUAUCAAUUUUAGCUGAUUACAUACCUCCUUAACACCAAUGAAGAUACUUAAACUAGAGAUUUCUAUGGGCCACGAUGGAAGACUUCCACAUUCUCGACCCCAUCAUAUUUCAAUCUUCAUCCUAUGAAUUGUUUUUCAAUAAUUUUGAGGAAAGUGAAGAUCUUUGCGAGGAAAUUAAACAUAUCAUCUUAUUUCUUUCUUUCUUUUACUUUCAAUCGAAAUAUAUAGUUUUUUUUUUUAAUUCUUUAAAUUGAGCAUUUUUAAUAUUAUUUCUAUUCAAAUAAUGCAAUAUAAACUUUUCUAAUAAAAACAAUAAUUAAAAUGUUAAAUUUCCAUAAUGUCAAAAAAGUUGAAUGCUGAAUUAUUACUACUUUACAGUUUUUCAACUUAAAUAUUACAAAAUUAUUGUUUUAGAGGUAAGUACGUUAUAAUUAUCCUAGAAAAUAUCUAUAUAAUUAAACAAAGGCAAAAACAUACAAUUAUCCUAGAAAAAAAAUAUAUAAACAAGGAAAAGGCAAAAUAAUUUGUUGUAAUUCAUAUCUCUUCCAUGAAAGGAAGAUAGAAGAAGUUGGUCGAUUAAAAAAAAAAAAGAAGAAGAAGAAGAAGAAAAGAAGAAAGAAAGAAGGGAACAAAUGUAAAAUAAGGUGAAUUUGAAUGAUAAUAAAAAAAUAAAAGAAGUUCAAAGAUAAGUAAAAAAUAAAAAUAAAAAAUUAAACUAUUAGUAAAAUAUAGACAACAAAAUAAGUUAUGUGAAAAUAAUAUCUAUUUAAACUGAAUUUUAAAAAACAAAAAUAGUAUUUGAGUGUAAAAAAGAUCAAAAUUUGAGUGAGAAAUGAGUAAAAAGUGAAAAUGAUAGCAUUAGAAAAAGAAGAAGAAGAAAUAAACAUAAAAAAUAGAAAAGUGAAAACAAAAAUGAUAUAGAAAACAUCCCAAAAACUUUUUGUAAUGGAAAAACGUGUCCUUCAAAUACCAAAGUGUUGGAUUUAUUGAAAGUCCAGCUUCGUGCUUCUUCUCUACACUCAAAAGGAUAGAGAAAACCCAAAAAAAAAAGAAAGAAAACUUUGGGAAUAAAUUCCAUUUUCUUCACUCUCCAUCUCCAUCUUCAUCAUCCCCCAUCUUUAGGGUUCCCUUCCCAUCUUCUUCCUUCUCUUUACCAUCACUUCACAUUCACAAAGGUGCGUUUUUUUUUUUUUCCCAUUUCAAUUUCUUGCUUUCUGUACUUCUCUAUUCCCUCUGUUUCUCCAUUCUUCACUGUGUUCCAUUGCCCGCUUUCCACUUUUUAUCUGAUGGGGCUCAUUCUGUUUUACAUUUUAAUUUAAUUGUUCUCAAGGUGUAGCCAAUGCUUGCAAAUUUAAGUUGAAUUUCCUGUUAAUUUCUGAUUUUGAUUCUCUUUUUUUUCUUUCUUUCUUUUGACUUGAUGUUGUUUCAACUAACUUCAUUGACUUAUUUAUUCGUUUGUUGAAGUGGGAAAAUUGAUUCCUGAAGUUGGUUUCACUUUUAUGGUUUGAUAGUGCUAUUUUUCAUACUUGAACAGUGUCACUGGAUCUAGGAUCGAUAUGUGUCUCAUAUGGUACAAACCCAUUUCUAUGCUAUUGUUGGAGUAUUGAUAUGAUUAAAUUUAACAUAAUCCAUUAGCUCUAGUGUUUGGAUUGAUGGAUGUCAUUUUUUCCUCAAUUAAUUCUGAUUUCUAUGUUGGAUCUAGUGAAGCAGUGUUGAAGUAUUGGUAUAAUUAAAUUUACUAUAACCCAUUAACUUAAGCUUUUGGAUUUAUUAGUGAUUUAAAAAUUAAGAUCUAAAAUGAUAAUGAUUCAUAUUGCUACUUUGGUGAUUAUCUUAGAGAAGUAUGCUUUGCUUAAGUUCUUGGACUGAUACUCCUUGGAAUUACCGAAUGGAAAAUCAGACAUUUUCUAGAGCUUGAUUUUAUUACGAACUAUUACUCCAAUGUUCCAAAGCAUUUUUGAGGUGAAGUUGUUCUUACACUAGCCUAUCCAACCAAUAGGAUGCUCUCUCGCACAUUGAACUUCCAAAUGCUUCUUCAAGCCCCAGAAAAUGUACUCUUACUGAUAUAUAUUCCUAGAUAUGUGGAUGUGCAUCAUCCAUUACAUAUUCAUGAUCGAAAUAGAAGCAAUUUGGGUUUGAAAUGUUUAAACUGCAGCUCUUUUGAAACCAUCAUUGGCGGCCUAGUGGUAAAUAAAAAUCUUGGGUUUGAUGAAUGACUUAAGAGGUUAAUUGAUCUAAUCUAGAAUCUGUUAUUUCAGAGCAGAGUUCUCAAACUUUUGCAUCUUGUGAUAAAUGAAACAUGCAUAUGAUGUGAAAGUACUUAUUUUGUGCUGAUUAAUUAAAUCCAGAAGUAAAAGGACAAAAGUCACCCAAGUGUUUUCUUUGUCAGCUGAGUACAUAACUCAGGCUUGAGAUUAUUAAACUUGAAAGUGACAAGAUUUAUAUGUAGCAAGCUAACAAUUCAAUACGUAAAGAAUGAGGUAUUUCACGGUUGAGACUUGCAGGGAAGAGAAGAAGGAUGUCGACUGCAAACACCCAUUGGUGUUACAGAUGCGAACAGCCAGUUCGACUUCGUGGGCGAGACAUGACUUGCCUUAGCUGUAAUGGAGGAUUUGUUCAAGAACUGGAUGAAAUGAUGGAAAGAAGUCCCCUUGAUUUAUUUGGAGCCAGUGGUAAUGAAUACCAAAACCGCAGGCUAGGACUCUUGGAGCUUUUCUCAAACUUUAUGAGGCAACGAUUGGUAGACAGAAAUGAUAUCAGGGGAAGGUUGGACUCAAUUCCAGAUCAUGGUCCAGGAUUUGGUCCUUGGUUGAUCUUUGGUGGCCAAAUUCCUGUUAGAUUGUCUGGACAUGGUGGAUUUGAAGCGUUUUUUAAUGGGGUACCUGGCAUUGGUGUGAGUAGGAGCAAUGGUGGUGAUUAUUUUAUUGGUCCUGGACUUGAAGAAUUGUUUGAGCAGCUUUCAGCAAACGAUCGACGAGGGCCACCACCGGCAUCAAGAUCUUCGAUUGAUGCAAUGCCUGUUGUUAAAAUUACACAAAGACACAUUCGUUCCAAUUCACACUGUCCUGUCUGCCAAGAUAAAUUUGAAUUAGGAUCUGAGGCUAGGCAAAUGCCAUGUGACCAUAUGUAUCAUUCAGAUUGUAUUGUUCCAUGGCUAGUCCAGCACAACUCCUGCCCUGUUUGCCGCCAAGAACUGCCUGCACAAGGGUCGGGUAGUAGCCAUAGCUCAUCUGGAAGCAACAAUUCUAGUCGAAACAGCCGAGAUAGGGAGAAUGGUAGAACGACUCAAGGAAGGAGGAAUCCAUUUACAAGUCUUUGGCCAUUCCGAGCAUCAAGCUCGAACUCUAACCAUAGUGCUACCACUGGAAGCAACUCACCAGCUCUACACGAGACUAACCAACACGAAACAGGGUACUACGGAUGGCCUUUCGACUAGCAUCAACACUGCGUUCCUAAACUUGUUUGCAGCAUUCAGUUUUUGUGAUUGUUAUUUAAGAUGAUGAAAAUAGUUCAAGCCCUGCAGUCCACUCUCUUGUAUAAUAAAUUGAUAAUAAUGGACUUCCUGUGUGAUGUAGACGACAUUUUUCUAUUCCUUAUCGAUGCUGCUGGAAUUUGUAUAUGCUUCAUGUAUAUUAGCAUGGCGUUUCUUUCUAGAGUUGCAGGUGGUCGGGAAAUCUGUCUGUUCAAGUGAGGAUUGCUGAAUCUUCUUCAACUGAAAGUUAAAACGUCCAAAUCAAGCUAUUCUAGUAUCUACUCAAAUUGACCAAUGUUUUCCUUAUGCAUCAUCAUUCAUACUAAAACUGUACAUGUUUUUCUAAAAGUAGAGGACAACAUAUUUUAGCAUUUAAGAAAUCUUUCAAGAUGGAUUGAGGAAAAAAGAAAAAAAAGGAAUGAGAUCUGAGAGUUACAGAUGCAAGAAAAAAAAGAUAAAAACGUGAUCCAAUAUUUGAGAUCAUGUGAGUUCUUAUACUUGAACAGUUUGGUUCUUGUACUUUGGAAAGUUACCAGGGUUCAAGGUUCAGCUUUUCAAAAAGUAUACAACAGUUCUUUAGAAUCUUUUUCUUUUGCCACGUACUAUUCCAAACAUAAUAAAAACGAGUUGCGAAUGGACAUGUAGUCCUCUCAAACUUAAAUUUAAAUUUAUUUAAAAAUUUAGAUCUUUGUUGUAUUUUGUUAUAUUAAAAAGGAAAAAAAGAGUGUUUUACAUAUAAAAAAUUAAAAGGCAAGCAUGGGCAAAUAUAACAAGUUUUGGUGUGAAAGUGUUGGAACUUUUAUCUCCUUAGUUUCAAGUUUGAAUUCUAGUAUGUUACAUUUCGAGUUUGGUUUUCAUUUAUUUUGCUUUUGAAGAUUUUAAAAUUAAUUAUAAUAGUAUUAGAAAAUUAGUGGAAAAAUAAUAAGUUGAGAGUGUAAAUCUUUUAAAACUUAAGCGUUGAAAGCAAACAAAAAAAAAGAGUAACUUUUUAAAAUGAAUAUAGAGAAAAUGAAGUAUAAAAAAUGUAUACAAAUUUAAAUUACAAAUUUGAUUAAUUUGAUUGCGAGACAGUUUUAACAUAUUUUAGUUAUAAAAGGUAACGAUUGUGUACUGCCAAUAGGAAUAAGGAGAGGGUGAGUUAGUUAAAAUAAUGAUUAUUGUUAUUGUUAUAACUUACAAGAAGAAAGAUAUUGAGAAUUCUUUACCAAUGAGCGAGAAUUGGAGUAAAAUUUCAUAUGAUUCUAGAAAACAAAGUUCAUAAACAAUUGCACAAACUGUGAAUACUGUCUUCUUUUUCAUUUAAGUUGGAUACAGAUCGCAGUUUUGGUGCCUCUUGAAAAAAGAACGAACAAAGCUUACUACAAACAACUUCAAAUCAGAACCAAUUUCAAAUGCAAAUCUUUUUGUAAGAAAAAAAAAUGCUCAAAAGAGGGAACUACAGCUACUAAAUAUGUCGGCUACUCGGUUAUUGGAGAACAAACAGACAUACUCUUCUUUCUGGAUAUCUGGAAUAAGGGAAUGAUAAAUGUUGCUUCAAUCUUCAUAAAACUCGGCCACUGAUUCAGUUGGCACUGGCGAGUUGAGUUCGGAGGAGCUUUGCGGCAGCAACCAUGUUCUUGAGAGCAGGAUUCACCUCGGCGUACUUGCGAGUUUUGAGACCACAGUCUGGAUUGACCCACAAGAUGUUGGUUUCGAGCACUGCAAGCAUCUUGUUGAUUCUGUCUGCGAUCUCUUCUGUUGAUGGUAUUCUAGGGGAGUGAAUGUCGUACACACCGGGGCCAAUUCCAGCACCAUACUUGACUCCCUCACGGAAAACUGACAAGAGCUUCUCGUCGGAGCGAGAGUUCUCAAUGGUGAUCACAUCAGCAUCCAUAUCGAUGAUGGAUUGGAUGAUGUCGUUGAAGUUAGAGUAGCACAUGUGAGUGUGAAUCUGUCAUGUAAUCAUUAGGUGAGUUUAACAUAUUAUGAACUUGUUGAAGGGGUAAUGAAAAUCCCAAUUGGUUAGUGAUGUAAACCUGAGUUGUGUCUUGGACACCACAGUUUGUGAUACGGAAAGAGUGAACAGACCAAUCCAAGUAGAAAGCAUGCUCAGACUUCCUUAGAGGUAAUCCUUCUCUUAAAGCAGCCUCAUCAAUUUGGAUGACAUUAAUGCCAGCCUUCUCGAGAUCCUCAACCUCGUCCUUGAUGGCCAAAGCGAUCUGAUAGCAUGUUUCGAAUCUAGAAGAUGAUAAUGUACACGAGAAGGAUUAGCCAUAAAGUCUGGUAUAAACUAUAAAGGGGAAAGAAAACAACUACAGUAGUUUCUUUCAGCUUGGAAACAUUAUCUUUCUUCUAUUACCUUGGCUGGUCGACUCUAACAAAAGACCAGUUGAGAAUGGUGACGGGGCCAGUGAGCAUUCCCUUCAUUGGGCGGGCUGUCAUGCUCUGAGCCAUGGUAGACCAGAAGACGGUCAUGGCUUUUGGGCGGCUCACGUCACCGUAGAUGAUUGGAGGCUUCACGCAACGAGAUCCGUAUGAUUGCACCCAACCAUUGACGGUGAAUGCAAAACCAGACAAUUGCUCCCCAAAGUAUUCAACCAUAUCGUUUCUCUGCAGUGAGGAUGAAAUUCAUAUUAGAAGAGCCAAAAUGAGGAGAAGGUACUACAACCUCCCUCGACAAAAACAGUGCUCUUGAUUUUCUGCUAAAUAGGCUCCAAAUAACUCACCUCGGGCUCUCCAUGAACCAGGACAUCAAUGUCGAGCUCUUCCUGGAGCUUGACAACCUUGCUAAUUUCUUCCUUGAUUGCCUUCACAUAUUCCUCCUCAGAGAUCCUAAAGAAUGGUAAAAAAAGAUGCAAACAUUAGAAACAGGGUUAAAGUAUUUAUGAACUUCAAGGAAAGCUGGUAUCAAUUUUUACUCACUUGUUAGCUUUGUAUUCACGACGAACCCUCCUGAGUUCAACAGUUUGAGGGAAAGAACCAAUGGUGGUGGUUGGAAGGAUUGGGAGAUUAAGCUUCUUCUGUUGAGCAUCGAGCCUUGCACUAACGUUUGUUGCACGGCGGUGAUCAGAGCCCUUCAAAGCAGCAGCCUGCACAAUCAAAAAGCAAUUAAUCAGUUAAUGAAAUCCCUGCAAACAGAUAGUUAAACACCUUAAAGAUAAGAAAUGAUUGUACGGACCGCUUUCUGAACAGCCUCAUUGGUCACCCUUGGGGAUGACUUCCUUGAAGCAUGAGCUUGAGCGUUAGAAGCAAAGAAUGCCUGAAAAGAAAAUUCCAAUAAGCUUAUGAGUUUGUGCCCAUCAAUUUCAAAAGGGUUAGUACCAAGGGAAGAACGUUCAAGAAAUAAUCUAAGUUACAACACAAAAGGUUAGAAAUCAAGGCCUAAAAACAUAGAAUACACCUUCAAUAGACAAAUGUCAUCCGAGUCAAGAAUAUACCUCAUCCUUUUGACCAGCCAAGGCCUUAGCCAAUGCAUUAACUUCAACAAUCUUUUGAGCAGCAAAAGCGAGCCAUGAUUUGAUUUCAUUGUCCAACUUGGUUUCAUUGACAAGGUCAACAGCAGUGUGAAGAAGUGAGCAGGAGGUGGAGACAACAAGAUGAUCUACAUAGUUUUUUUGGAUGAAGAAGGAAUGAGUAAAUAUGAACUCUCAAAUAAUAAUAAUUAAAUCAAGCAUCAUGAACCAACAUAGUAAUACAAAUGUAAGCAAAAGAAUAUCACCUUUACCCACAAGGGCAGUCAAUUCCUCCAAUGUGCUAACUGAAGCAGCAAGAUCAUUGGCCCAAAUGUUCCUUCCAUCAACUAGUCCAGCAAAAAGGUAUUUUCCCUUGGGGAAAUCACCCUUAAUCAAUUCAAGUGUCUUAGUUCCACGAACCAAAUCAAAUCCAUAGCCAGUGACACCCUUCAAAGAAGUAAGGGUCUUGUAUGCCUCAGCAGGGACAUCAGCGAAGUAUGUCUCAAUAAGAACAUUCAAGCCAGAGAGAGAUGAUUCUAGUUCAGCAUAUGCAUCGGAGAAGGCUUUCAAUUUGUGAGAAUCAAGGUCCAACACCAAUGUAGGCUCAUCAAACUGGAUCCAAGAAGCGCCAGCUGCUUUAAGAUCAGCAAUAACCUCCCUGAAAAGUUGGGCACCAUAUUAAUAUGUGAGAAAGAGAAUCAUUAUAGAAACACUAUGGAAAAUCUUGAUAGAGUGACGAAUUUUACUUGUAGACAGGAAGGAUCUUGUCAAGAAGGGAGAGGAGAGAGAAUGUCUUGUCAACACCCUUUGCAGGUUUGGAGAGCAACAAGUAUGACACGGGACCAACGAGAACUGGAACAGUGUCUACUCCAAGCUGCAUAAUCAAAAAAAUAUUUUUUACCUCAAUUCUUUGGUACUUGUAUACCCAAAUCAGAUUUCAUAGUCCUAAAAGGUAUACGCUCGUCUAAGUCAUUGAAGCAUGUCAACACAUUCAUAAUACAAUGCAAUCUGUUUUUUGCAAAUAUUAUACCGAAAUUCCACUCCAUGUGACACGGAUCUAUGGCCUAUUUCCAAUAACUUUAAUUAGGGACAGUGUUAAAUAUAGCAAUCAGACCCAAACUAUUAACAUAUAUAACACAAAGCAAAAUAAUUUAUCAAUACAACCAAAUUUAAAUCUAGCUCUCAGAAAUAGGAAGUCUAUUGGCGAUAUAGUUUAUUGAUAGAUUUUGCCAUACUUACAAUUCUUUAAAAAUGUUAUUAUAUACUUAACUAUUAACCCUAAAACUGCUACUCAAUGCAAUUAUCCCUUUAAAAUAAUUAAAUUCUCAAUUCUCAAUCAAAACUUCUGUUUCAAUUUUCCAAUGUAUUAUAUAUCUUAUUUUAUGAACAACCAACGCAAAUACCAGAUUCAACAACUUACAGCUUUGGCUUCUUUGUAUUCGUCCACUGCCUUAUGGGAAGCAUAAGAGAACUUCACCUCUGGUCCCAACUCAGGAACAAUGAAGUGGCUGCAUCAUUGAAUUGGCAACAUUAAUUAUACUGAUCUCAUUACACUGUCAUUGCAUACUAACAAAAGUAAAAGGCUAAGUGGGUUACUUACUAGUUUGUGUCAAACCACUUGGUCAUUUCCAUAGCUGGUACAGAUGCAUUUCCUCUAGCCAUGGAGAAGUAGGUAUCAAACCCAAUCUCACCACCAGUCCAGUUAUAUCUAGGAGGAACAGCCCCAAGCAAUGCAGUGGUGUCAAGCACCUGAUCAUAGCAUGAAAAAGUGUUGCUGGGAAUGUAUUUGAUCCCUGCAUCAGACAUCUGUUUCCAGAUGGACGACCUCAGAUCUGCAGCCACCUUCUUCAAAUCCUCUGCUGUGCUCUUCCCAUCCCAAAAUGAUUCAAGAGCAAACUUGAGCUCCCUCUUGGGACCCAUACGAGGAUAUCCAACGAUGUGAGAUGCCAUUGUUCUGCUCAAGAGAUCGCGGACGUAACGAAAUUCAAUUAGAUCCUCUCAACACUACUCUUAUCUCAAAUCCCAAAUCCAAUAGUCAACAAGUAACGGAAACAGCUAACACCAUGUUAAAUUAAAAACGCAAUACGAAAUUCAAGCCAGUGAAGAAGACUUAAGAACAAAGGGUUUGUAACACAUGCAGCAAAGAUCCAAUGAGUAAAGUUCACAUAAGCUAACAAUUCAGACCCAGAUAGAUCUAAUACUUAAAAUAGAAAACAACCCAUUAAAAUACAUCAGAUCUAGGAACACAAGUCUUCCAAGAAAACAAAAAUCCCACCAGAUCUACACGACAAUACUGUAAACACAAAAAACAGAGGAAGGAAGUAAAAUUCCGAACAAUCCUUAAGCAGCAGCAAUUAGAAGAUGAAAUCCAAAAUGGGUUCAGGGCAAAGUAUAAAAAAGAGUUCAUAACACAGUGGAUCUGAAUCCCAAAUUACAGGAAUGCCAGCAUACAUUGACAAAAAAAAAAAAAAAGAAAAAAAAAGUGAAAUUUAGAGAAACAGAGGAAUGGGAAAGCAUGGAAAAAACGGGUAAGGGAAAAGAGAGAAAACGGAGGUAACCUUGAGGAAGUGGAACACCGACAGAGGCUCCCCAAGGAGAAAAGAAAGAAAUGCGAGAGAGAUAAGAGAUAGGGAAAGAGACGAUGAUACUGGGGGAGCCACAAAUAAGAGAGAAGGCGCGAGUUGGAAGAAAUGGGAAUGAAGUUUAUUUAUAGAGAUCAGAGAUGAUGAGGUGGCAGAAGCAGAUCUGGGAUAUCGGAAAGUCACAGCCGGAGAUUGGAUGGUAGCCGGUGACAGACAACCAAAUGUGUAUUUCAUUUUGGUUUAAUUAUUUAUUUUGUUCUAGUGGUACACCGAUCAAUUCUCAUUUCCUAUACUCUAAAUUACUAUACAAUAUUUGACUUUCAACACCAAAUGUAAAUGAACACUUUUUUAAAAUUUGAUGAAUUUGUUCAUAACUCACAAUUAAACCAACAUAUAAUCAGCAAAAACUUUAGACUUAACCAUUACCUACUAAACUAUAAAUGUUAAUUAAAGAAAUGAAAGUAUUGAAAUAUGAGUUUUAAUCCUUCAAUGAUUUAUUAGACAAUAUAUAUAUAUAAUGUGUAAUAAAAAUGAAAAGAAAAAAAGAAAAGAGAGAGAAAGUUUUGAGUAGGAGAAGAUGGAAUGAGACGCGUGAAGUUGGGGGCGUGGGAGAGAGGGAUUUAAGGGAAAAGGCGUAAUGUGGAAGUGAGGAAGUAGUGAGGGAGUGAGGGAGUGAGUGGCCACCACCAUUUCUUUUUCUUUAUUUUGCGUCCGAGACAAAUGCUGUGCUUCUCCCUAAACUUUCACCUCACCAAUCUCAUUCUAAUUCAAAUUAACUCAAACAUUAUUCAUCUUUUAAAUUGAAAUGCUAAUCCAUUCAACUUUUAACAAAUCCUCAUUCAACAUUCAUUUUCAAUCAUCUUUCGACAGAGAAGAAAAAUAUAACAUAUUUAGAAUGGGAUGAAUCAAGAUUAAUCUUGAUCUAAUUUGUGUUUUGAUUUUUUUUUUAUUAUUAUUAUUAUUAUUGUCACUAUUAACGUUAAUAUUUUAUAGAAAAACUGCACAUUUUUAAUUAAUUGAUUGAAAAUCGACAACAAAAGUUAAACGAAAGUUUUUCUUACCUUAGAGGUAAAAAUGUAAUAUUUUAAAUGUUUGGGACCAAAUGGCAUACUCUACACUCAAUAUUAGAGAUGAGCAUAUGGUGGAGGAGUGGGGCUGAGGUGAGUUUCCUAUUCUUGUCCUGACAUCCUUUCUCCCUUUUUCAUUCACCAUUUAAGCAAAGUUUCUUAUCGUUUGACAUUUGUAGGAAACUCCAUUUUAAUCAAUUAACAUAAAGAACUACUAGAAAAGUUUUAAGUUAAACAACUCAAUUUCUCUCUAAACUUUUAAGUUUGGAUUUAAAGAGAAAUUACUCUAAUAUACUUGCAAAAUGGAAUCAUUAAUCGAUAAAAGUAUUCAAAUAUAAUGUAAAUUUGGUUAAUGCACAUUUAAUAUUUUGUUAGAAAUCGGAUGUAGAAAUUAAUUCUUACCAUCUAUUGCUAUAGUAAAUUAAGAUAAAACAAUUAUUAUUAAUCCUUAUCAUAAUUAAUUGUUCUAAAAUGAACUUUAGUAUAUAUAUUUAAAAGUGAAAUUACAAGUUUUUUUCUUCCAAACUUUUGUCAAAUAACAAUUCUUUAUACACUAAAAAAGGCCAAUACUAUUUGCAUCGGGAGAGAAUUAAUAAUAUGUAUCAACUACAAUACAUUUUACUAUUUACGUUACAAUAAGUUAGUAUUUUUCUUUUUUUAAAAAAAAAUGGUUAAAAAUAGAAAACUAUUUACCUUUAAAAGAAAAAUCAAGUAUGGUAGAUUUUAUAUUUUAGCGAUUUUAUUUAUAUAUAUAAAAAAAACAACAACAAUUAAAUAUAACUCAUGCCCUCCUCAUCAUAAAACCUUUUAGAAAAAAGGAAGACAAACAAAAGCUCAAAAAAGAACUCCAAGUAGGAAAAGAUGGCCAAUAUGAGGAGCAAGUGUGUAAAAAAAGAGACGGAUUCGAGUAUUCGUGAAAUGUUGAACAACAACGAAUUUUCAUAGUUAGAGGAAAGAUAGGGGAGAUUCGAAAUAUAUAAACAAAGCUCUCUUCCAUGUCCAAGCAUGGUUGAGGCAUAAUUUUAAUAUGUACAAUGAGUUGUCUCUCAAGUUUUUUUAAAAAAAGAAAGGUUAUAUGGAUGAAUUUAUAAACCCUAAAAUUGGGAAUGCAAGUGAUGUGCACACGCUUGUAGAACGCGUGGCAUGAGAGGAGAUUUUGCCAUUACAUGUUUUGUUGUAUAAAAUAAAUUGGAAUUUUUUUUUUUUUGUAAGACUUUUUAUUUACUUAUUUAUUUAUUUGCAAAAAUCAAUAUAAAAAAAGAAUGUCAUAUUCAGAAAAUUAGGAAAGCAAAGGAAAUUAGAAAAAGAAAUAAAGGAAAGCAAACGCAUUUGGUGGUUGAAAUUGAUUGGGGGAUUGGUGGUGGAUGUGACUCUAAACAACUCUUUUAUAUAUCUACCAGUUGGUUGCAGAUCUAUCUCUUCUUCUUUUUUUUUUCUCAAUUACCAAUUUUAUGAGUUAAUUAAAACACUUUCACAACUCUAUACUUAUUUAGAAGGAUUUAUUAAACACCAAAUUAAAAAUUCAAACACUUUUGAGAAAUAAGAUUGAGGAUAACAAUGCAAUCGCAUGAGUUGGUAGAACAAGUGUCAUCGUCUUGAUUAACUCCUUAUUGCCACUUUGUAGAUAUGAAUUUGUCUUUUCAUCUUCUUCUAAGUCAUUUUCUUAAUGUAAACAAAUUUAUUUUUAGCACACAUGCAUCAUGAAAUAACUUAGGUUUCGUUUUAUAACUAUUAUUAUAUUUUACAUAGUUUUGUGAAGUUAGAUAUGUUUUAGUUUUAAUUUGUAUUUUAAAUUUGUUUAUUUUCAAAGGUGAUGGAAUAUUUUAAACUUUACUAAACAAAAGAAAAAAGGUUAAGAAUGUUUAAUUUCCAACCAAACCUACCAAUCCUUACCCAAACUAGGUUGAUUAAUGUUAUAAAAUACUGAUACAAAAGUUAUAAUUAAUAUGGUAUUGUAAUAUAAUAGAUUUUUUAAUAGAAUUAAUUAGUAUUGUACACAAGCUAGAAAUGUCCUUACAAUGAAAAUUAGAAAAUGGGUCUCUUUUCUAUUGAAUAUUUAUAUUCCUUAUAUAUGUGUAUAGUCUUUUCUUAUUCUUAUUAGAAAUAUUGCAUUGAUGUAAGGUGUAAGUUGAAGCAGUAGAGAUGUAGGUCUUGGUUAAUUAAUGAACUAAAACUCAUAUUAAACCAAUAAAAUGAAAACAACAAUCAUUUACUCUGAUUGUGUAAUAGUUUAAUUAAAAAAUGACAUUUGAAUAAGAGACAAUAUUGAUAUUAUUGAUUCCAUCUAUGACUUAUAUAAGGUAGCAUAGAAAUUGAACUUUCAAUUUUGUGGUUUUGUUAGUUAAAUUUUAAAAUUUAACUUUAUGAUUAUACAAUAAAAUUUAUGGUAUUGUAUAAGACACUAAAUAUUAAGAUCUUUAAAUCGAGUGAUUUUCACUAUUAUAAUAAUUCUAUUCCAAGGAUGGUUUAAGAGAUUGUGUUUGUAUAUAUAUAUACUUUUGCUCAUGCACACCAUAGCUAUGCAAAUUAAAAACACUUAAAUUAUUAUUUUUUGGAUUACUAAGCACCUUAGGUCAUAAUUGGUGUAAUCAAAGUAAGUAUUUUAUUAAUGGGUGAAUUUGGAUGAUAGCAUUUACCUAGAAUUAUAAAUUUAUGGUUCUUACAUAUUAACUUUAAUAGUUAACCAAAUAGUAAAGGACAACAAUAAAUGCAACAAAUUAAUUGACGGACUUAAUUACAUACUUUGAGGCAGAUUUCAUCACACGAUGAUUAACAUUAACACAUAUGGAUUAGCUUUUGGGCUAAACGUAAUCUUAAUUUAUUAAUGAUGUUAAAAUUUAAUGGGACAUUCUCAUUAUAAUAAAUUCAUGAAAUGCACAAACAAAAAAGCCAAAAUAUUUAAUUUAUUGUUUUCACAAUAGAAGUAAAAUUGUUUUUAUUAACUAAUAAUUCAAAUAUUUCUUUUAUAGUUUAAUUGUUUUCUAAUAACUUCUUUUUUUUUUAAUAUCCAAACUCCACAUUUUAAAAAAACAACAAAAGGAAAAAGAGAUUAAAAACAAAAAACAAAAAUAAUAUAUAUAUAUAUAUAUAUAUGUUUAUACAAUUCGUACAUUGUACAGAGAGCAAAGCGUUGAGAUAAUCGUACUCUGUUUCACCAUUUUUCUUUACAAACCCAAUUCAAAUUUUGUUCCUCUCUCUUAAACUCGAAAUCUUCGAGCAUUACAACACAAACAAAAAACAAGAAAAGAUCAUAAACCGAAUUCCACUAACAAUUAAAAAUUGAAAUUGAAAUUAGGGCCAAAUCAAAUCAACACAAACCCUAGAUUCCUUGAGAAACUCAUCCAUUACAUUCUCAUCGGCACAGAUCCGGGUCUUGUAAUUAUUGGCGUAACAGCAGUCGGAUCUGGGCAACACCGAGUUCCCAUGGGCAGAAGAAGAAGAAGAAGAAGAGGGCAUGGUCGUUGGUGGAGAAGGGAGAGUGAGGGAGUAGUCGGGAUUGGUGUCGUGGUGACGGAGGAGUUGGGAGAGGAGGAGGAGAAGAGAAGCCAUGGAUGAUGAUGGGAGGGAAGUGAAGGAAAUUAGUUGGGAGGGGGAUUGAAUGAAUUGAAAAGAGUAGGGAGAUUUGUUAUUAAUAAUGAAGGGAAUUGAAUGAAUGGCAUUUAUGGGCUCUCUUCCCACCGUUUGUAAGAUUUUCCAAUGGGUAAUUUAAUUACAAUGAGUCCGUCUUUCCACUGUUUAAUGUUUAGUGUUCUUAGUUUUCUCCGCCGGUAUUCUUUGUUUUCUUUCACAACAAAUGAAUCCAACGCUUAACAAAACCAACGCCAAAAAUCAGUGGGUCUCCCUCUCUAUGUGUAAGAUUUGAAGUAUAAGAAAGAAGAAGAUGCCUAAACUGCUCUCAAACAUCACUAAUAACGCAUCACACUUCACACUUUCACUUGUGCUGUUUUUCUUUCUUUUUAUGCUCUUCUUAAUACUAACUUUAUUUAUUGUUUCUCACUUAAAGUCAUUUUCUUUCACUCAUAUAUUUUAACUUGCAUUUGGGUCAUUUUUUUAUUUUCUUCAAUCCUAGUUUUUCUCUCUCUUUUUUAUGGAGAGUGGUGAAUGCAUAUGAAAAAAAGACAAGGUUCAAAUUUAAAUUGAAACUUUAGUCUUUAUAGUUUUAUAAAUUAUAAUUUAAUUAGUGCGAUUAUAUAUGAAAUUUUGUAAACAAAUCUUAAAACCCUCCUAUCCACUAUUUAAAUUGAAGUUUAGCCUUUAUAGUUUUAUAAAUUUUGUAAACAAGGUUACACUUAUGAUGUGUAUACAAUCUUUGUACACAAUUAUGUACAAAGUAUAAAAGAUCUUGGUAUACAAUUGUGAACCAAGAUUGUUAAUAGAUUGUAUACUUGAUCGCUUUGCUAUUAGUAUGUGAUCGUGUACCGAUUCAAGAUCUUGUACCAAACCUAAAAAAUCUUGGUACACAAUCGUGAACCAAGAUCAUUUAGGUUUUAAACACGAUCGUUUAGUUCGUACUACGCGAUCAUAUACCAAUAUGUGAUACACACAUGUAUGAUCGGUGUUGAUACUACCUACACGAUUGUGUAUCAUUGCCUAUACGGUCAUGUGUCAUUUCUUAAAUGAUUACAUAUCAUGAUCAUUUAGAAGAAGAAUUACGUGUGCGUGUGUGACUGAUUAAUCGCGUGUUGACUAGAGCAUUUUUGGUAUUUCGCAUCAUGAGCUUGUGGACUUUUUCCGAUUUUGAAAUUGCCACUUUGUUAUACUUUUUUGAAGAGUUCUUUUAUUUAUUCAUUUGUUUGUUUUGAUUUGUUCAUCUAAUUGAUUUGGUAAGACUUGUGUAAUUUUUUUAAGAAUUGAUUUGGUAAGAGUAAUAUGAUUUUUUUACUCUCCUUCUCUUUGUUUCUUUCUUCAUGUUCUUAUUUAUCUUAUUUUCUCUAAUACUAUUAAUAUUUAAUUCUUCUUAUUAAUUUGACAUUUGUAAGUUUUAAGUGACAAAUUUAAGUUAAGUCUUUUCUUAACCUUUCUAAUUGUAUACAUUUCACCCUAUACCAAAUUUGGUUCCUUUUUUGUUUUUAUAUUUCGAUUACUUUACAUAUCAACUUUUUACAUUUUUUUUAAGUGAAAGGAUUGCCAAAUUAAAAAAAGAAUAAAAAAAUAAAAGAAUUCAAAUUUCAAAUGUACAAAAUAUAUGAGAAUUUAAUAUAUAAGAAAGUUAUACAACAACAAUUUAAUAUCUCAAAUUCCAAAUUAGAGUUUGGUUUAUUUGAAUGCCAAGUUUUCCCACCUACUCUUUCUUAAAUUAUAAGAAAGAAAAAAAGGAUUAAAGUUAUAGAAAGAUGAACUUGAAUAAAUAUUUGUAAUAAUAUGUGACGUUGGGUAUUGAGGAUUAAAAAUUGGUGAAGAACCAACUCCAAACCUCUUUAAAUUUCUAACACAAAAAUCCCAAUCUUGACUUUGUAAUACCAUCCUUCUCAUAUCAAAUAAUAAUAACAAUAAAUUAUUGGUUUUUCCAAACAAGACAAACACAAAUGGAUUACUUACAAAUAUAUUUUCAAAUAUAGCAAAUAAACCAAAAUAAUAAUCUAUUUAAAAAAUAUAACAAAAUUUCAUAUUCUAGUUUUAAUCUAUUUGUUGUUAUUCAAAAUAUUUUUUCAUAAUAAUAAUACAUAAAUAAAUAUUAGGAACAGAGAGAGAGAGAGGAAUAUAGUAUCUAGAAAAGUUUAAUUCCACAGCAUAGUAUAAAAUACAAAUCCAAGGAAAAAGGAGAAUUUGUGUUUGCACAAUGUUUUCUAUAUUUUAAGUUGUACCAUCUCUUUUUACAUUCAUCUCAACCACACAAUACAAUAAUAAAAGAAGUUUACAAUAUUUGAAAAAAAAAAAACAAGAAUUUGUCACAUCACAAGUGAUAGGAUGAUUACUUAGCAAAAUAGGAUGCAUAACAAUGUCUCUCUUUAUCUGUCACUAAAAAUCCUCCAUUUCUAGCAAACAUUUGGUAAUGUUUGUAUGAGUUGAAUUAUUGGGUUGUGUAAAAAAAAAAAAAGAAACCUAAAUUCUCAAAUCAUCACUAUCAAUAAAAACAAAAAAGGAUUAAAUUAAAAAAGAAAAUCCCACAAAGCUUCAUCCUUGUUUGUAAUGUGUAUCUUAUUAAACUAAAAAAACAAGGAAAGAGAGGGGUAAUAGAACAAGUCUCCCAUUGUUUUUCACAUCCCCACUUGUCGAUCCCUUACUCCUCUCUCGCCGGCCUUUCUCUGCUUUUAAACACUCUCUUUCUCAAACCCCCUGUUUCUCCCCCCAAAAAUAAUGGAUCGUCUCAUCACCCUCGAACCCUCCAACCUCAUUCCCAUCCGAAUCGACCCCCCCCACAAAUGCUCCGGCGACCUCACCCUCCGGAACGUCAUGUACACCAUGCCUGUCGCCUUCCGACUCCAGCCUCUCAUCAAAUCCCGCUACACUUUCAAGCCCCAAUCCGGAAUCAUUCCUCCACUCUCUACUUUAACAGUCGAAAUCCUUUACCAUCUUCCACACGGCGUCAGUCUCCCCGACUCCUACCCUUAUUCCGAUGACUCUUUUCUCCUCCACAGCGUCGUCGUCCCCGGCGCCGCUAUCAAAGACUCUUCCUCAAGCUUCGACUCUGUUCCUUCCGAUUGGUUCACUACCAGAAAGAAACAGGUGUUUAUCGACAGUGGGAUUAAAGUCAUGUUCGUGGGGUCGGCUGUGUUGGCGAGAUUAGUGGCGGAUGGGGCUAUGGAUGAGAUUAGAGAGGUGUUGGAGAGGAGUGAUCCGAGUUGGAGGGCGGUGGACUCUGUGGAUGAAAAGGGGAGGACUCUUCUUCACUUGGCGAUCGGGCAGGGGAGAGCGGAUUUGGUGCAGUUGCUGUUGGAGUUCAAUCCGGAUGUGGGGAAAGUGGGGGAGAGUGGGAUGACGGCGGUGGAGGCAGCGGCGGGGGCUGGGCAGGCGUUGAUUGUGGAGUUGUUAUUGGCGAGGAAGGCGAGUACAGAGCGGGGGGAAGGAUCUGUUUUUGGAGCGAUUCAUUUGGCAGCGGCGGGAGGGCAUGUGGAAGUGUUGAGGCUGCUAUUGGUGAAAGGAGCUUGUGUUGAUGCUCUGUCAAAGAGUGGAGAUACGGCACUGCAUCUGGCCGUUCAAGAGCGCCGCCGUGAUUGUGCUCGGUUGCUUCUCGCCAAUGGCUCUAAACCUGAUGUUCGUAGUGCUGAACAAGGUUACACUUUCUCACUUUUCACUCUAUUUUUUACAUCUAACUAUUUUUUCUUCUCUCUUUUAUUUUUUUUAAAAAAGGUUAAAUUGUUAAAAUAUAUAUAUAUAUAUGAAUUUUUUUAGUAUUUAUUUCAAUAUUAAUUGUGGUCAUUAUUUAUAAAUGGUUCAAAAUUGUUGUAAGUAAUGUUUGUUUGUUUGUUUUUUUUAUAAAAAAGUUCACAACCUUAUUUAAAUAUUGAAUGCUAAGAAAAUUGAAAUUAGAGACAAGAUAUUUAAUUUAAGCUUGGGAAGCUAUCUUAAACUAAUGCAAUUAAUUAAUCCAUAUGGUUACAAAACUUUCUUUAUCAAACCAUUUUUUAGUUGUUUAAUUCUCCGUGGUUUCUAUUUAAUUAAUCAUUAGUCUUAGGAAGUGUCAAUUACAAAUUUAAAUUUAUAAUUAUCCAUCCAUUAACGAGUUGACUAAGGGUAGACUAAAAAACAAAGCAUUGUUGGGCAAAAAUGACAUUUCAAUUGAUUAUUUGUUUGAUAAUUAUUUAGUUUUUAAAAUUUAUUUGUGUGUUCCAUUUUUCACCAUUUUUUAAAUGAAAAGGUUAAAUUUUGCAAUUUAAGUACAAAAAUCUGUAGUUAAUGUGAAAAGCAAAUAUUCCUUUGUAACUAAAAUGGUGGUUCUUAUUUACAACACAGGAGAUACGGCGCUGCACAUGGCCGCAAGAAUCGGUGAUGAGCAAAUCGUUAAGCUUUUAAUUCAAAAAGGAGCCAACAAAGACAUCCGAAACUGGGUUGGAAAGCGUCCAUACGACGUUGCAUUUGACCACUCCCACACCCGCCUCUUCGACGUCCUCCGCCUUGCCGACAAGCUUGCCACUGCAGCACGCAAGGGCGACGUUCGCUCAAUUCAACUCCUCGUCGACAGUGGUGCUGCUAUCAAUAGUCGCGAUCAAAACGGCUGGACAGCACUCCACAGAGCUGCCUUCAAGGGCCACACCGACGCCUCAAGAGCCCUCAUCGAUAUUGGUAUAGAUGUCAAUGCUAAGGACGACGACGGCUAUACUGCACUUCACUGUGCUGUUGAGGCUGCUCAUGAUAACGUUGUCCAAGUACUCGUCGAGAGAGGCGCCGACGUUGAGGCGGUGACGAAUAAAGGGUUGAGUGCAAUGCAAAUUGCUCAAUCAAUGCAGUAUACAAGGACUAUGAGGAUUUUGAUGCACAGUGGUGUGAGUAAAGAUCACAUCGACGUGCCACCGACGCGAACGACGUCGUGGCAGGGGUUGGCGAAGAAGAAACAACAGAGUAAAGGAAGAGGGAGAAUCAAGAGUUUGAGGAGUACGGACUUUGAUAAAUCAGUAGCACUGUCAGUGGUGUGAGAAAAUUUGUAAAGAAUUUGGAGGGAACAUGAUCACUAUAUUUAAUUAGUGUUUUAUAUAUAAAUGUGGGUGUGUAUUUUUUGUAUGUACGGGAAUGAGAAUGUGAUGAGAUGAAUUAUAUGUAUAUGUAUAUUUUCCAUCACUUGUUUGUUUAAAGUUGAAGCAACUUUUAUAAUAAUUAUUGGAAUUUUGUAAUUAAUUCAAACUUAAAUGGGAAGAAGUUUCUGAAUAUUGAUGUCUAAUUUUAAAAAUAUUGUAAACAUUAACAAAUAAUUUGACAAAUUUAUGAUUGUUUUCUAAAAAUAGAAUAUAAGAAUAGAUGAAAAGUAUAAUUGUUAAGAACUAGGGGCGGCCUUGGUUUUUCAAUAUAUAUAGUAGAGGUCAAUUUUUAAUGUUGUCACAAACUUCUUUGGGAUUCUCACACCACCCUUCAUCUCUUCCUAUCAAAUCAAUCCACCUUUUUAAAUUUUUUUUUUUAUUAUUCAUUAUAUAUAUACAUUUGGACAAAUAUAAAAAUUAUUUCAGUUAAUUUCGUUAUAAACCAAUCUUCUUUCUCACCAUGCAAAUAAUUGAUAAAUAAGUUAGCCUCCAUUUAAUUUAAUCACUAUUUUGUUUCUCGUUUUUACGUGAAAAUUUCUAUGCCCACUCGUAGUUGUUAUAUAUAAAAAAAAAGUUAAUAAAUAAUUGGAAGAAAAUGAUUAAAUAUAAGUUUAGGAAAUAUAAUGUUUUAAAUUUAUGAAUAUUAUUUAACAUUGAAAUGAAAUUUAUUUUAAGAGUGAUAAAUAGUCAACGGGAGCCAUGUGAUAGGUUUUUUCAAAAUGCCAACUUCACUUUACUUUACUUUUAUCUACAAUUAUGUUACAUAUAUUAAUUAGUAUCAUUAUUUAUCAUAGGGGUGUUGAUUUUUUAAUGGUACAUAUAAUUUUUAAAAAGUGAUGAUAUUGGGAUGGUUGACUUAGAAAAUGAUUAGUUUGGCAAGAUGAGUGAUGAGAUUGAUCCUGUAAGAUGUGUAGUCCAUAAAUAUGAUCACACACCUUGACACAAAGAAUAAUAAUUAAGUAGUCAUAUAAGCUCAAAAUUAUUUACAAACUUGAAAGAAGAAGAAGAAUAUGGCAGGAAUAAUGAAGAAGAUCCAGGAAACAGUGCAGAGCCAUAAGAAGCAACACGAUGGGGAGAAUGGAGCUCAUGAAGGAGUUGGGAUUGUGGAGAAGAUGAAAGAGAAGAUCCAUGGUUACAAAGAGAAAAACAAAGAGAAGAAGAAGCAAAGGAAGGAGAGGAAGGAGAAAAAAGAAAAAGAGAAGAAGGAGAAAAAAGCCAAACAAAAAGCAGAAGAAGCAGAAGAAGAAGAAGAUGGGGGUGAAAGCAGCGAUGGCGAUAGUGACGACAGUGGUGGCGGGAGCGACUAAUAAGUACUGUGUGUCUUAGCGUUUCGUCCUUUCUUCUUCUUCUCUUUUUCGAUUCCUUUUUAGCUUUCUAUUAGAAUAAUAUUGCAUGAUUAAAUAUGGAUCGGAGUUGAAAUUCAAACUUAUUUCUUUUGUGUUUCUUCAAAUUUGAAUGUGUCACAUUUUAUCAUACAACAACACCACACAAGAUCUUAGAUGGUCAUUAAUAUCUACAUGGAUGUUGUCCUUCAUCCAUGGUGCUCCUUCGACUUCUCGUGCGUCUCUUGUUUUUCUUCUUCCUCCUCUUUUUUUCUCUUUAAAAGUUGAAACAAAAUUUAGUUUUAUAAUAUAUAUAUAUAUAUAUGAAUCCAAAUGUAUUAAAAGAAAACUAUCAAAAGUUUACCGUAUCUAAUGCAACCUAAUUUCUGUGCAAAAUUCAUCUCAACAAUCAAAAUCUUUAUAUAUUUUAAAUGCUAUCAAAUUUUUUGAUCUACAAUGUGUGUAGGAGUGUUUUUCCAUUGAUCAAGAUUUUUAUCUUAAAUGAUGCUAACUCAAGUCAACCACGAUUAAAUUGCCGUAAAAAUGUUGUAUUAAGAAAAUAUUUAAACUUUAAAGUAAGUACACAUUACAUUAUUGAUAAAUUUCAUAUUCAAAACUAAAAGUUUAAAUUAGCAUAGUUUAACUAUGCCAUAGAAUUUGUGCUAUCGACUUAAAUGUGAGAAUUUCAAUUCUUCUUUGAUCUUCUAGUGUUAAAUAAAAUUUAAAACUAAAAAGAUUUAUAAAUACUCGACCAAAAUCUAGUAUUUGCCUCUCAAAGAAUACACAACCAUAAAUACACAUUUUGCAAAAAUAAAAAAAUGCAAAUAUAUACACAAUAAGGAUUGAAAUUUAAAAAAAACUAUGAUUGUUUUCAAAUAUAAUAAAAGAAAUAAAAAAUUUAUAUGAUAUAAUAAAAUUUUAUAUUUUAACGGUUUUAUCAUUUAAAACAAUUUUUCAAGUUCGAAAAAUAAAAUUAAAACAACGAGUAAAGAAUACAUUUUCGAAAAAGGAAACAUACAAUAGGUAAAGAAAUAAAUAAGAAACAAAGAAAAGGAAAAUGAUAGAUUAAAAAAACUACAAUUUUUUUUGUGGAGUUUCUCAAAUUUGAACCAGUUUUACGACUAUAUUUUCAAAUCUAAAAACAAGUUAUGAAAGUAUUUUUCAACAAAUUUGUUUCUUGAAAAUUGAAAAUAAAUAGAAAAGCAUGAAAAGAAAAAGGACUAUUCUAUUUUUAAAAUAUUAUUUAAAACUAUUUCUCUUAUAUCAACUUAGUCGUGGAGACCCACAAUUUUAGGUUUUGAAAUAUAGAGUUGCAAUCAUUUAAACUCUAAAUUAAUAAUGGAAGCAAUUGAAAUCUUUAGCUUUUGUAAAUAUAUCAAUCCAUGCCCUUUUUCAAAUAAAUUGUGAUGAGUACAUCAAUUUAGAUCCUUUAUACAUCAAAUCAUCCCUUCAAAUCUUAAAAUUGACCUUUUUUUUCCAUUUGUACUUAGUGCAAAAGUCAUAUUUGUACUAUGGAUUUUUUUUUUCUUUUCGUUUUAUAAAAUAUAGUAAAAUGUUUCAAACUUGUUAAAGUUAAUUUAAUGCUAUUAGUUUAAUUUUUGUUUGCUAUCUAUAAUCAUUUCCCCAUCCCUUUUAGUAUUCAACAAACAUAAUAGCAAAUUUCUUUUGGUACCCAAGCAUUUCACAUAAUAAAUAGAACACAAGAGUGAUUUUUCUUUGGUCCUCUAACCUUCAUUUUCAAUAUGUUUAGGAGACAGCUGUUUCAUAUAUGGCAGAUAUUUCAAAAUUUAAAGCUUCCAAAUAAAACUAAAUCUAAGGUUGUUUACUUCUUUUGGUACCCAGUAUUGAACCAACCCAUGUCACAAUGGAUCGUUGGGAAUCUACAAACUCACUCCAGAUUUUAUAUCAACAUUCAGAAUUUUCAUGGUGAAACUGUUUUGAAUUUUGAUAUCCUUUUUUUAGAGUCCCAACAAAUGACCUAUUAGUACUUGGAAGCAAUUUUUAUGCAUUUCUGUUGUUUCUCCAACUAAAGUGAGUUUCCCGUAAUUGAUGUCUCCGAUCUUCUUCCCUAAUUAAAAGUAAAAUGUUGGAUUUCCAGUCCGAAUAAUAAUAAUUAAAAAAAACCACCAUAGAGAUGUUAUGAACAUUAGUAAAGAUCAUAUAAAAUCUCUUAAUCUUUAUUAUACAUCACACAUACAGUACAUAACGUAGUCUUAGAUUAAAAACAAAAAGAAACAAAGAUAGAGAAACAGAGAUCGGAAACAGAGGGAUGAUUAAUUAAACCAAAAGGGAGUGAGAUUAUUCUUGAACACACCAGCACGCGAUCGGAACACAAUCUACCUCUUAAUAAUGAUUCCGAGAUCUGACCCAUCAAUCGCUAUCGCUAUCGCUGCUGCUAUCUCCACCUUCGUGUUUGUGGCCGUGCUCACCCUUCUUCUUCUUCUCCUUCUUCUUCUUCUCCCCUUUCUCCUCAUGAUGAUCACCCCCAUGGAUCUUAUCCUUGAUCUUGUCCAUUAUCCCUUCCUUGUGCGCCCCUUCUCCAUGGUGCUCCUCGUGCUUCUUGUGUUCAUCGUGAUGCUCACCCUUGUGCUCGCCCUUGUGAGCGUCGUGGUGCUCUCCCUUGUGAUCGCCUCCAAUGUGGAGCUUCUCGCCGAUUUUCUCAAUGAAUCCAGACAUGUUUUGAUGAUGAAUUUGGAAUGGGGUUUUGAAGAGGAUGCGUGUUUGUGGAAAAUGGGGAAGGAAAGAAGGGGAAUUUAUAGAUGGCGAGGGAGGAGGAAAGACGAAUUGAAACGAAUAAAUUCAGUUUAUCCACAAUGUAUCCGUUGAUUUUGAUUGACGUUAUCUUAUUGCUUUAAUAAUUGCGUUUUUUUUAUAUAUUAUUAUUAUCCUUUUUUUCUGAUUCGUUUACGCGGUAACGCCACGUGUCACACGCUCUUCACCACGUCUUUGUUUUUUCCCUUUCACUUUCUAUUUAAUUCUAUUUUUUUGCUUUCAAUCAUACUAAAAAUAAUAAUUAGAUAUCUAAUCAGAAAAGUUUGGAGAAUUUGUUAGAAUAAAUUGUGCCAUUUCUACAGGUUAGGUUCAAGAUUUUGAAUGGGUUUGCGUUCCACCAAGUAAAUAUGAAUAUUAAUUGUAAAGGAAACUAAGAAAUUGAAUCUGAGAUUUUUUUAAUCAAAGAAAUUUACUGUGUUGGAUUGAGAAAAUUUUAAGUGUAUAUCAUAGUGUGUAUAAGAUAUGAAGUAAACUAAGUAUUUAUAGACUUAUUAGGUACUUUUAUUAUAUUUUUUCUUUUUAUGUUUAAGUGAUUUAUUUGACAUUUUUUUAAAUUUUGAAUUAAUGGGUGUUUUUCUAAAGCAUUAAAGCAUUCACUCAGAUGAAAUCUACCAAAAUUAAUUCUGUGUAACUUUUCAUUUAAUAUAAUGGACCCAUGAUGCCAUAACUCAAUUAAUGUUUAAAAUAAUAAUAAAAUAAACGUGUGAAAUUAAAUGAAAAAAUAUUGUUUAAAAUGAAUUUGAUUUAGUGGUAUUUGUACGACGUUUGUUUUUAUUGUUAUCGAUAAAAUCUUACUUUGAUCUAUAUUGAUGAAUAUAUUUUUUAAAAAAAUCAUGAAAAAACUAUUAAAAAAAACGUUUUAACUCUAAAUAAAUCAAAAUACUUCAUUUUGAAGAAAAAUUUAAGUACUUACUAUUGAUAUUAUAUUUACAUUAGUAUGUUUAAGAGUUAUGUCCUUUAAUGCAUCUAAAUCAUGUCAAUAUCUACUACUUAAGUAUACAUCAUUAUAGCUUUAUGAAAACUAUAUCCGUUCUCCACUUUUGAAUUUUCUCAACUUAGUCCACUUAUUCGUUUUCUAAUGAAAACAUCAAAUAAUGUAUGACAAAAUUUCGAUGUUUCGUUUUAACUACGAAGAGAUAACAUUUCUCUUUUCAUUAUAUAACUCUCGACUAUAUUGGUUGGUGUUUGAAAAUUUAAUAUCUUUUAGUUGAAAAAUAAUUAUAUAUAUAUAGAUGUACUCAUUCAUCGAAUAUGAAAUUUGAUGUAUAGAGAUCCGAGUUUAGAAAAAAAUUACAAUAUUAUUAUUUAGUAUUGUUUCGAGUCACGAUAUAUAUAUAUUAUAUAUAUUUAUUUUAUAAACAUCCUUUGAAAUAUUAAUGUAAAUAUAAAAUAGAAGUCAUGGAUAGGCGUGCAGAUAUGAAAUAAAAUGAAAUAAUUAUUUACUAAUCCAACUUGUAAUAACAUAAUAAAUAGCAAUAAUAAUACAUAUGAAUCAAAAUUAAUUUACAUGUUGACAUUAAUUCGGUUAUAUAAAGAAAAGGUAAACCUAACAAUUUGAAACUAUGGAAAAUAAGAUGUUGAACUAGAAGAAUCCUAAAGUAAUGCUCACAUGUUGAAUUGAAGACUAUACAAUUACAUUAUUUCAUCAUCAUAGUGAACCACUAUAAGAUAGGAGAUUGAACCUCUCACAUUUAAAAUAGAAGAACAUAUCAAUUAUUAUUGAACCAAGUUCACUUUACAUUUAUAAGAAGUAGUAUGUAUUAAAAUUUUGUUUAAACUGAAUUGUAAUUAAAAUGAAAAUCCUAUCAUAAAAUUAUAUGGCGUGAAUAGGUUAUUUUGUUUAGUUUUACCUAUUUUUUUCACAUAUUCAAUAAUCAAACUAUCACAAAAGUGUGGGUCUAUAAAAAGAUAAUAGUGAAAAUGGAAGAUUAGUAGUUUUAAUUGAAUUUAAUACACAAAAGAGGAGAAAUAGGUAAUUAAGAAAAGUAAAUAUCAAUAUACUAAAAAGUAAAAGAAAUAUGGGCAAUGGAUUGUUUAUUCAAGCGGGAUUAAGAGAAGCCACUCAUGGGAUGCCACGUGUGAAAGAUCCAUUGCCGACAUUUUGGUGUUAUAUUUGUAGAGGUCUCCGCGUUGGCCGACAUUUCAAUCAAAAAAGUGGUCGGCAGAUAAAUACCACGUGUCGUUCAUCUAAGCAUCCACGUGAAGUUAUUCUUUUUUAUUUUUUGAUUUUUUGAUUUUUUGAUUUUUGUCGUGUAGUGGAAAAUGUGGGAUUUGAGUCCAAAUUUUGAUGCAUGACUUUAUGUAAUAUCUAAACUCAUAUGUGGUUAUAAUUGAUUUAGCCAUAAAUUAAGCCUUUCAAUUUGCACCAUCUAACCCAACUUUAAUUUACAUACUAAAUCUAAUAAAUCAUCUCUCCUUAUUUCAAUCUCAAUUCCCUUUAAUUGCCUCUAUUCUUUCUUUACCUAUAUUUGUUCAUCCUAAUUAAGGAAUUCUCUUAUGUAAGGUAACAAAUAAAAAAAGCAAUAAUCUAAAUCUAAUCAUUCCAUCAUAUAUUAUUUUAGUUUAAGAAUAAAAUAGUAAAAUAGUAAAAAAACUAUAGCAAAUAAUAGGGAGUUUGAAAUAAUAUUUGUAGUAGCUAAUUGAGAGUUUUAAAAUAGUAUUUAUUGUAACUAAAGAUUGUCAGUAUAGUUUUAUAUAAUCCUCGUCCCAAAUGACAUGUAACAUGUGAUUGAAGUAUAAUUAUACACAUUUUUUAAUUUUUUAAUUUUUGAAUAAGUAUUCAUUGAACGUGAUCUCAUCGAUAUUUUAAUUUGGUCGAAAUUUCCAUAGAAGAAAGAAUAUACGAUUAUAAACUUAAUCAAAUCAUUAAAAAAAUAUAGAGUACUAUCUCCAUGAAAAUUCAUGGAUAUCAAUGAUUACACCCACCAAAAGAAGUAUCUAUCUUUUUAUAAAGAGUGUUGUAUUCGUCAGAGUUGAGGUAUCCCGAGUUGUGUUACAAACAGUUUAAUAACACAGAAGAAAAAAAAGCAUAGAUAAAUAUUUAUUCAUGUAAUAAUUGAUCUCCAGAUAUGUGGAAAAAUGAAAGGCAGAUUGAGUUUUUAUGUUUUUGUUGUUUCGUAGUAUUUUUCUUUAAAACGUUAAGAGAAAAUCAAAUAUUGAGUAAAAAGAGGAAAGUAUUGUUUAAGAAUUUAUAUUUUGUUUUUCGUCAAGAGUAUAUAGUGAUAGAAAUGAGAAAAAAGAGAAUUAAAAGGAGGAAAAUUCUUCACGUGAUGAGCAUCGAAUUCCUGGUCCAUGAUAUAUUCUUCAACAUAUAGCCCUUUUACCCUCUCAUAAUUCACUCUUUCUUCAAACUCAAGAUUUCCAAUCUAAACCCUUUUGAUGACUUUAAGUAGUGCUGUGAUUUAUGCACUUACAAUGAUCGUCUUCUUUAUCUCGUAAACAUAGGGUUUUGGUUUUUCUUUUAACAAUAGGGUUUAGUUGGUCAAAUGAGGUUUUGUGUUCAAGUCCAUGCGGUGCGAUACUAUAUUAUUCCCUCUCCAAUUAAAAUUGAUUCACAUGUCGUGUGUCUUCUCACGUAUCGACAUAAUUUAACUUGCUUAAUGAAUAUUAAUUGAGAGAGCAAAUAACAAUGCAAGAAGUUAAACACAUAACUGCGUUUGGACCAUAUGUUGCUCUAACCAUUUUAAAUUGUUGAUUGAUUUAAAAACUUAAGUUAGAAUUAUGUGAAACUUAAACGAAUUUAAUCCUAUAUCAUCUAAACCAUACCGUGCAUUUAUUCAAAAGUGGUAAAGUAUAAAAAAGAGGUAGGGAUUUGAUGUUAGUCAUGCAUAUAUAUAACUUUAUUUUGCUUAGUUUUCACGAUAUUGCUUGAGGCUUCCUCUUCAAUCUUUUAGUCUCUCCCUCAUUAAUAUGUGUAUAUAUAUAUAUAUAUAGACACAACCAAACUUUUUUCUUUUCUUUUCCCUUCUUUUCUUUCAUUAUUAGUACUCUUUUCUUCUUUUGCUUUUUCCUUCUGCUUCUUCUUCUUUCUUUCUCUUCACUUUAUUAUGCUUAUAUGAAUAAAGAAAAAUUAGUGUAUGUGAUUUUUGUUUUUACAACAAAUUAUCUCAAUAUUUAAAUGAAUGAGUUUGACAAUUUUACUCUAGAUUUCUUUUAGGGCGUUUCUGUGUUUGGGUCGUUGGAAUGCUUUUAAUUAGGAUUGGUUGAAUAUAUGCUUGACCAUUCAAAAGUAAGAUUUAUUAUUAUCAACACAACCAACUUGCACCACACAAGGAGAUUGGAAUUUGCCAACACGGCAAACUGCCAGGAAUUUAGCUACAUGUGACGUCGGAAAGGUUAUCGCAACAUUGUUUUAAUCAUCAACAAUUUGGCCAAGGGAGGAGACCCGUCUAGCAGAGAACAAAUGUCGAUGCCUGCCACAUGGUGUUUGGGAGUAAUGCUCAUAAUACACUGACACAAUUAUAUCAUUGGAAGUUAUAUGUUCAGUCCCCUAAUGCCUCUAUGAAGGUAUCAAGAUCUAUUCUAAAUUGUCGACGCUUUAUUUAAUCGUUGAUAGAAGUUGUUUAUCUCAACAAUUUACUUUUGAUGUGUUUUAUGUAUGAUGACAAAUACGUUUUUCUUUUUUCUUUUUAGUAUUGUGCAAGUGUUCAAAACUUAAGUGAAAGAGUGUGUCAUCUCCCAACUCAGUAUCUUUCAUCAUCAACCUAUUUACCCAAUCCUUUUUCGGAACUUGAAUUUGAAUAUUUGGUUUUUACAAUCUGAAAAUGUCUGUUUGAAUCACUAAAAUCUCGUUUAGUAAUUAUUUUAUAUUUAGUAUUUUUUGUUUCGAUAAUUAAAUUUAUUUUUUCUUUUCUUCUUACAAUGAUUUACAACUUUUGAAUUUUUAAUCAAAUUUAAAAAACAAAAACAACUUUUUAAAAGUUACUUAUUUUAGAUUUCAAAAUUGAGCUUAGUUUUUUUAAAACAACUAGUAAAUAGUAUAUAACAAAUAAUGAAAUUUAGAUGUGGAAGUGAUGUAGAUAGACUUAAUUUUCAAAAAGAAAAAUCGAAAAAAUAAGAUGACUACCAAACGAGUCCACAAUUUUUUAUCAAUGUCAUAACCUAAGGGUUCAUAUAACAAAGUAUCUUGGUAUUGGUGAAUGAGUUAAUUUAACCAUAUAGUAACUAAAUCUCCAUCUUAUUUUGUCAAUAUUGGAGUAACUCCAAAUUUUUGUAAGAUUUUUAGUCAUUCAAAUAAUACAAAUACUAUGUAUGAAAAAAAUCAUUAACUCAAAUCACAUAAAUACUUUAUACUAAUACUUGGGUAUAUGAAUUAUUCUUCCAUACAUCAAUUAUCAUACAGUUUCUUUUCCAUAAAAGUACCAUUUAGAUAAUCCAAAAAUUACACCUAUAUAAGUUUGGAUGUAUUUUGGAAAAUCCAUCGGAGGAUGACACUCUGUUAGGGGGAAGGCCCAUUUGUACAAACCCCAAUUUAUUGGGCUUUUAAAUUUUCAACAUCGGCUCAUUUGAACAAGCCCAUCUUUAACUAUAAUUUGGGCUUUCGUAAAAUAAUAAAUAUUGAUAAAACUAAUUAAGGAAACCCAAAUUUUUUGUUAAAUAAUUGUUUGAUGCUAUAAUUGGAGGAGAUUGUGGUUAAAGCUUAUGUAAUUAAGGUAUUGGUAACAAUUGUUUUAUUAUUUAAUUGGUAAUAUUAUAUUAUCUCUUUACGAGAAAAAAUCAAGGUUGCUAGUGCACUAUUUGAAGCAUAUGUAGUCAACAUAUGUGAUGAUAUGUUCAACUAAUAACCUAAAUUUUCUAUAGCAUAUGACUAAAGUUGGAUGGAUUAUCGUAUCAAUACUAUUAUAUUGAUAUUGUCCAUUUUAUAAUAAUUACAAAUGAUUUGACCUAAACCGUUCAUAUGAAGACAUGUGAGUACCAAGGAUAUCUCUGCAGACACAAAUGUUAUAUCUCUCUUUGCAACUUUAUAAAGCGAGAAGAUAAAAAUUAAUAUUUCACAAGACGACAACCAUAAUCCUAAGACAACCAUAAUAUUUCACCCUAUCAUUAGUUCAAGAGAGACUUGAUUUAUAAUUGAAUCUAAAACGGUUGUUCAUAAAAGUCAAUAGAUCUUUUAAAGAUGCAAUAAUAGUAUUUAUAAUUGCAUAAUAAAGUGUUCAUUGUUAUUGAUCAAUAUAUGUAGACAUACCACAUGAACAUAUCUCUUGAAAAAGAACAAAUAUUGUUAAUCAGCGGGUCGCUAACGAGUGACUUGACUUUUUUGUAUCAAAUGCUAAGGAGUGUCCAAACAAUACAUUGAUGUGUCAAAAUAUUUUAACAAACUUUUAAAAAAUAAAACGCCGUAUUUAAAUAAUAGAAUUCAAAAGGGGUAAAAUAGAGAAUGUAAUUUAGUAUAUUUAGUCCUCUUUUUGUUUCUCUAUGAUUGUUAUUUGUAAAUAUAACUUUUCUCCCUCACUAUCUCUUCAAAUCUCUUGAGGAUAUUUCUUUACUUCCUUUCUAUUAGUUCAUAAAUAUGAAUAUAAUUAAAAGUUUGAAAACAGUACUUUUAAUUUAAAAUGAAAAAUAAAAACAAAAACUAUUCCUAUCACUAAAUGGAAAUAAAAAGUUUAUAAUGAUUUUAGUUUAUCAAAUUCCAAAUUCUAGAAUAUUAUUUUUCUAACAAUUUCUCCUUUUCUUUUUCAAUAAUGUAAAAUGAAUAUUUUAUUUUUUAAAAAUAAUUAUCAAGUAAACUUUUCAUCUUUUUAACCAACCCAUAUUAUACAUCAAUUUUACAAUAUAUAUUUUUAAUUUUGAGUGAAGAAGGUAAAAAAAAAAAGGUAAUUAAGAUAUAUUUAUUUUCCAAAAUAGAAAAAAAAAAAAGGAAAAACAAAAAAGAAGAAUGUGUACGGAUCUAAACUCUAUAAUUCAAACCUUUGCUCAAAUGGUGAACUUUUGAAAAAAGAAAAAGCAACAACAUUUACUUAAAAGGAUCCCCAGAUAUAAAGUUUAGAGUAUGAAGUGAUAAUUGAUUCAAUUAAUACUUUUUGUCCAAAGAAAAUAAAACAAAUUGAUUACUUACUUGUUUAAAUCUCCAUCAUUGAAGACUUGAGAAAGUGUUUUAAAAUUUAUAAUGGAAUUGAAAUAUUUUAUAAUGUAAUAGCAUUUUGAGUUUAAAUCGUAAUAUGAAACUCAUUUCAUUUUGACAGUAUGUAAUUAUUGUGUUAUCAACUCAACACACAUUCCAACGUUUAUCUAAUCUAAUUGUGUUGAUUAAUGGGUAUAUAAGAAUCCUUCCUCUCACUUUUACAAAGCAAAAUUAGAAAAAGAAAAAGGCAAAACUUUUGACCUAUUUUUUUUCUUUUUUUUCUAAGGUUUUAUCAAAGAUAAUGCAAUUACUUUUUGGGCCACUAAUUUAGAGGAGAUUUGAGUCACUUCUCAUUAAAAGUAUGUAUUCUCAUCAUGGAAAUUUUUGGGAAGGGUAACAAACUUUCAUUUAGCUUUUUGUUUCCCUUUUUUCUAUUGCUUCAAGGAAAAAGAAAAAGAAAAAGAAAAAAAAAGAUUAGCUUUUGGAUUUUUUUUCCCUUUUUUUCUUUUAAUCUUUCUUUUUAAUUACUUUUGUUUUCUUUUUCCCUUCCUUUUAAUAAAAACAAUGGGAAAAGGAAAAGGUGAAGUGGCUUUCCUAAUGAUUCUAUAUUUUUUAUGGUGUGUUUCUUUAUGUUAUAAUAUGAAAUUGGUUAAAAUAUGGCUUUUCUCUCCGUUUAGUUUUUAUGUUUUACAAGGAUUAAAAAUGAUAUUUUAACCAAUGAAAUUGAUGUUUUGUACUUAGUUCGACAACUCGAUUUUUAUUAUUUAAAUAUUUUUUAGUUCAUCACGGGAGGUAUAAAUUUGAAUAAGGGGUGAAAUUAACGCAAAUUACUCAUGAACUAAUUAAUAAAUUAAACUAGUAAAAACUUGAGCAAAUAGUCACAUAAUGUUACAAUGCAGCUCAUUAGAGAUUGUUCUCUAUUUUGACCAAAAUCUUUCGAAAAUGAAGUAGUUUUGUGUUGUGUUGGUGUUUCAUUGAAUUGAUGUUAAAUGGCCUUGAUUCUUGUGCUAUCUUCCCAACACCCCCACUUACAAAGGCUACUUGAAAAUUAAAUGAGUGAUAAGAUCUUCACAUCCUUUGCUUGGUUGGCAGCUCUUAUAAAUAUUUAAUGAUCCUUUUCCAAAGGGGACACCCACACCCCCCCUUUUCUUUUCUUUUUUUUUCUUUCUACUUUCUUUUCUAAUAAAUAAAUAAAACACACAGUCACUCUCUCACAAAGUCCUUUUCAUUUCAAUGUAAUGUCCCUUUCUCACAGAUAGUAUUUUAUCUCAAUUCUAUUAUCUCCCUCUCAUUUUCAUUUUUUUUUUUUUAUAUAUUUCUACCCUUUCUAUUUUCCCUUCUUUAUGUUUGCAUCUAAUUUAAAUUACUAUAAUGAUAUUUGCUAUGUUCUAUAAAUUAGAUGUUGAAGUUUUGAAUUGUCAUUCUCGCAGUUGGAUAUGCAUUACAUUUGGUUUUAAAAUAGUUAAAACUACUUUGGUUAUAAAGACUAAAACGGGUAUGGUUUUUAUAUGAAUUUUCUGGCAGAAAAAGGUAUGUUCUGAAAGCUCAAAAAGUUCAAAUAAAAUGCAUACAAAUAUUUUACAAAACUUCAUCAACAAAUAGAAUAAACCUAAAAGUUAUGUAAAACCUAGUUGAAAAUAGAAACCCCCAUCAAAGAUACAUUGCUGUUCUCAGUUAGUGGCAGAGGCAAUGGAAAGAAUAGAAAUGACAGAUACUAAACUGUGGAACAAAAAAACACAUCAUAAACCUUAUGUACCAAAUUUCUUCCGAGCUUUCAGAGAUUUAUAAACAGCUUUUAAGAUUAAAAACAAAAAAUACAUUUUUAUGUGCUCUGAUGGAAAAUCUAUAAAAGAGAAUAAAAGCUUCCAGUUUUUGCUUCCAAAAUUUGAGGAGUAUCCCUAAAAUGGCCUUUGCUAUCUGCAUUAGUUGUUUCUGAAGUUUCAAAAACACUACCUUUCGAAAUGUUUUCCUUUGGAUAUGGAUGAAUUCCAAAUGUGGUCCAUAUAGGACUCCUUGAAGCCUCGCUUGGGUUAUCCACUCGUAACGUCUUUGGAACCACCACGCAUUUCUCUGACUUCUCGUCCUCUGCUAGGCUGUUUGUAUCUCUCAAAUGCUUACCGAGUGUAGGCGAUGAGCUUGUGGGGCAGGUGGAUGUUUGAGAUGCACAGACAUCAGAAGGAACAACGGUUAAAUUCCCAGUACCGGUAGAAGUCCAUACGGGCGUACAACCCCAGCAUGAGGCUGGGACGAAUUGUAAUGGAAGGCUUGGAGUGCAAAACCCUGGAACUGCCAGCACUGUUGCUGGGAGCCAUUGAACUGGUGGAUUGGGAUGACUGCUAGUAUUUGGUACACUUGUGCUAUCUGAGCUUUGGGUCAUUGCUGAUGAAAUUAGGCUGCUUCCGCCCUGAUUCAAUGGAAAAACCAAUUGUGGAACGGGGUAACAAUGAACCGUAUUUGAUGCAGUGAUAUCACUACUAGAGUUGGACAAUCUAACUGCCUCUGGCCUCUCGAUGACACUUUUAGGCAAUUCGUUUCCACGAAUACUAGUAGUUGUCAUGGAAGAUCCGCAUGAGGAUGGUUCUUCAGGACUGUCUCCACAAUAUGCAGACCCAAUCUCAAUGGAUCUCUUCUGAUCUCCAAGACUCAGCACAGUCUCCAUCGAUUCACAAAGUGGUGCUUCGGGUCCAAACUUUAGGACAGUACUACUUCCAUUGGAAGGCCUCAAAGCAGAAGGAGACUCGAUAUUCGAGAGUAGAUGAUGGUGAUUUGUUGCAUCCGAAGUUUCCAAGCGGGUUGUAGCAACUCCCUCGGAGGAUACUAUUAUCUGUCGGUAUUGAGAUGCCAACUGCUUGUUUCUUCGUCGUCCAGCACCAAUAGGAACGUUUCUCAUCGUCCCACCAGCAGUCCAAUAUCUUUGGCAGUUCUUGCAGAAAUGCCUAGGUUGAUUGACAUUAUAGUUGUUGAAGUAACAAAAUUUUGUUUCCAAACUAUUACAUCUAGGACAAGGAAUGAUUUUGUCUGGCUUCUUAAAUGCUCUUUCUUGAUCCGUGCCAUUACCAUCCUCCUGCUCUUCUUUCAAAUGUAGUUCUGAUUCUCCCUUGUUUGACGUCACGUUCGAAGCUUGGUUUUCUUCAUUAUCCCCUACCAAUACCGAAGACCUCUCUGAUGGGCAAGAGUCUUCUGCACCUGAGACUGACUGCUCAGCUUUUUUCAAAUUGUUGCAAGCAUCCUGAAAACAGUAUUCAACAAAUUGACACUUAACAACAGUCAGAAAAGAGAAGCACACAAUCGACAUACGUCGAAAAAAAAGCCAAGAAGUGUAUCAAAAUCUACAAGGAGAUGGGAUUUUACAAAACAAGACCUCAGAGCCCUUCCCAAAUAAGGUAAAAAUUACAUUCAUUCAAGAAAGAUAGUACAAUAUGCAACACGAAUGAAAAGAUACAAGGAAACAUGAUAUAAAUGAACAGAACACUUCCAUUAAGGAAUCAAUCUUCAUCAAACAUUUUCAGCAGCUCCAGAUAUUCACAAGAGAACUUCAUUUAACCCUCAAUGGAUCCACUACAAACUGAACCAAAAAAACCAUCUGAAUUCCACAUUCAAAUUUGGCUAAAAACAGUUCUCCUAAUGAACUUCUUCCAAAACCACAAAGUUGGGAAAGGAACAGUAAAGUCAACCAAGGCCACAAAAACAUUACAAGAACAAAUCUAAACAAAAUCAUAUAUUGAAGUUAAAACCCAAUAAGGGCCCCAACCCAAAUGCUUAGAGAACCCAAAAAAACAUAUACACACAAUGAAAAGAAGAGUUGAAAUGAGAGUAGAAGAGGGGGAAAGAGACAACUCAAUAGAAGAAGAAGAAGAAGAAAAAGAAGAAGAAGAAGAAGAAGACCAAGAAUAUGAAUAAGACAGUUAAAUGAGCAUUUCAAUAAUCUUUUCCAUGUCCCACAAACACACACACACACACACACACACACAGUAAAGGCAUUUUUCAGAUUAAACCCAGAAAGCAAGAAGCCAUCAAAAUAAAGAGAGAAUGAAGGAAAGGGGAGGAAAUAAAAUAGGUACCGGAUUAUGAAGAGGGGCGGCGGAAAUCUGGGAUUCCGGCAAAGGGAUGGUCCGACCGAAGAGUUUAAUGGCGAGAUCCUUGAAAUGUGGGGGGGAAAUGACAUCCUGUGUAGUAGAACUGGACAUUUUGAAAAAUGGGUUGUUAAUGGAGAGUAGUUUGAUUGAGAAAGUGGGAAGGUUUGGAGGUGAAAAUCAAUGGAAGAAGACCCAUUCAAAUAUAGAGAGAGGUUAUGAAGGAGGGAGAAGGAGAAGGAGAAGAAGAAGAAGAAGAAGAA
rnacentral:lncRNA from 1 species